rnacentral:lncRNA from 1 species
UCGCACAUAUUAUUGAGACCAACUAGCAACAUAGAAAGCACAAUAUUGUACCAAUAAUGGCAGCCAAAAUAUUUUGCCUCAUUAUGCUCCUUGGUCUUUCUGCAAGUGCUGCUACGGCGAGCAUUUUCCCGCAAUGCUCACAAGCUCCUAUAGCUUCCCUUCUUCCCCCAUACCUCUCACCAGCGAUGUCUUCAGUAUGUGAAAAUCCAAUUCUUCUACCCUACAGGAUCCAACAGGCAAUCGCAGCAGGCAUCUUACCUUUAUCACCCUUGUUCCUCCAACAAUCAUCAGCCCUAUUACAGCAGUUACCUUUGGUGCAUUUAUUGGCACAAAACAUCAGGGCACAACAACUACAACAACUCGUGCUAGCAAACCUUGCUGCCUACUCUCAGCAACAGCAGUUACCUUUGGUGCAUUUGUUGGCACAAAACAUCAGGGCACAACAACUACAACAACUCGUGCUAGCAAACCUUGCUGCCUACUCUCAGCAACAACAGUUUCUGCCAUUCAACCAACUAGCUGCAUUGAACUCUGCUGCUUAUUUGCAGCAACAACAACUACUACCAUUCAGCCAGCUAGCUGCUGCCUACCCCCGGCAAUUUCUUCCAUUCAACCAACUGGCAGCAUUGAACUCUCAUGCUUAUGUACAACAACAACAACUACUACCAUUCAGCCAGCUAGCUGCUGUGAGCCCUGCUGCCUUCUUGACACAGCAACAUUUGUUGCCGUUCUACCUGCACACUGCGCCUAACGUUGGCACCCUCUUACAACUGCAACAAUUGCUGCCAUUCGACCAACUUGCUUUGACAAACCCAGCAGUGUUCUACCAACAACCCAUCAUUGGUGGUGCCCUCUUUUAGAUUGCUUAUGAGUUAUAGUUCAAUAAUAAAGUUUUUUUUGCUGAUAUUUGUGGCUUCCCAGAAAUAAGAAAGUACAUUUCUAGAUUCUUAUGUGCUUCUAGUCUCCAAAUGUGGUUGAUAGUUAUUUUGCUCUAAGAUCGGCAGUAAUGAGGUAUAAAUACUUGUUGUCGUGUGCUACUCGGUUAAUUGAGCAUUAACACACAUAAACAUUACAAGGAUGGUAUAAUCUCCUAAAAUGUGUACAUUGUUAGGUGUAACCCUAUAGCCAUGCAGAAUGUGCUAUGUUAGGCAUGCCGAUGGAAACGUGUGACACAUACGUUUUGUUAACCUAUUGAUAUUAUAUGUGCCUUUUAUAUUACCAUAUUUUAUUAAAAUACUAAUAUUUAUUACUAGUAAGAUAUAACAUUCUAUCUAGCUUAAAAACUAACCAUAAAUAUUCCAUCAUAACUAGAUUUACCAAACUAAUAUACUAAAUAUACAUAAUAAAUACAAAAUUAACAAUACAAUAUCAAUAUUUAUGAGCUUAAUAAAUUUAAACAUUAUGGUUGGCCGACGAUAAUCAUACUGACUUUCCGUAAUUGCUUGAUUGUAAAUAUACUUAGACUAAUGCCUCUUUGUUCUACAUGGCAAAUAGGGACCACUCUAGGAGACUAGGAUGUUGCUUGAGACGAAGAUGUUAUCAUUGGUGUAGACUAAUUUCUAUCAGCCGCUGACUUCACUAUUGUAACCAUUAUCUCUUGGGUAAAUCAUAUACGAUUAUCUAGCCAAAGGCCCAGAUGAUAAAAACAAUUUUUAAUUGCUAUUUCAGGACAAAUGAAUUAGCAUGGUUCGAAGGAUUGCGACCUUCCCCCCAUGACUUUUAUCGUAUUGUGUUAGUCUAAUCGACAAAACCAAGAUUAGAUAUCAUCGAAGAAGUUGAUAAGCGAAUCUGUGACCACUAUCAGAAUCAGCUGCUUUGCCGAGUGUCUAAAACACUCGACAAAGCCUGAAAAACACUCGGCAAAGGAUUUGCCGAGUGUAACACUCAGCAAAGAAAGCUCGGCGAAGUAUACAUCGGCAACGACUUCUUUGCCGAGUACUUUUUAUCGGGCACUUGGCAAAGAAGCGUCAUUGUCACGACGAUAGGUAAUGCCGACGGAGUCUGUGACGAGUGUCACAGAGUGACGCUCAGCAAAGGCUCACUCUUUGCUGAGUGACCACUGUACAGACACUCGGCAAAGAAGCCCCCGUGGGUCCCUUUAUCAGGGCCUUUGCCGAGCGUAUUAGGUGGCACUCGGCAAAGGCUCCAUCUUUGGUGACUGCCCGCCAGACUAGCAAUCGACAAAGGGAUCAACAGCGGAUCCCUUUGUCAGUUCUUUUGUCGAGUGCUCUAGGAGGCACUCAAUAAAGCUUGUGUUGGGGGCCUUCUUCUUCCGAAGGUCCUCAAAAACGUGACUAACCAUAGGUUUUCAGUAUGACAUAGACUAUUAUAGGAAGCUUUGGCUUUGGGAUGAAGGCGUGUGAUAUGAGGAUACAGCCCAAAGGCAACAUGGAUGGACGUCGAAGCUAUGGCUAAAGGAGUUUCGGCUUGGCAUGUUAGCGAAGAUGAAGGACGAAACCGACCUAAGGGAGAAAAGACUAGUUAGUCCUUGAUAGUUUGCAUUAUGAUUAAGAGCAGAUAUCAGGGGCAUGCAUGUAAUCUUAUCCGGGCUGCGUCCCGUGCCUAUGAAUAGAUGAAUAGUAACACCGUACUGUUCACGCUGGAUUAUAAUCGCUCCUACGUCACUCUCGCGUCUUCACCUUUUGGUAAGCUGAAGGUAUCAAUGUAAUACAAAUAUUGAUGAUGUUUAUUCAUGUUUAUGAAAUGAGAAUAUAAAUAGCUUGCUGAUUCGUAAUCAUUAUUUAUAUUCUUUUGUAUUUCAUGUACCCUUAUUUAGAUGUGUUCACUGAGAUGAUGAAGGUAUGCCCUUCAUGACCUUCGUUCGGAAACCAUUAUAUCCAAAAGGAGAUAAUGCUUCGAAGGACGAAGGUCUCUAAUUAUUGACAAUCAUGUUGUCUUGUUCUUGAUGUAUAGCAUUUGGGAACAAGGACCAACAUUGGCGCCCACCUCCCGUGAACUCAAUCGACCACCUUCGGCAAGCAUCGACUUUCGUAAUGCCGCCGAAGAAGACAAUAGUGCCAGGGGCUGCCCUGCAGCCACUGGACACUAAUCAGGAAACGCUGCGAGAAGCUAGGAUCUAGAAGAGGAAGGCUACUAGCCCAACACCUCAGGAGGAGGAGCUAGAUCAGGAGAUCAGAGAUUUGGAGGCUAUCACCAGCAGGUACAAAGAAAAAGGGAAAAGAUGCUUCAGCUCGUCGAACUUCAGAGAAAGAUCGACAAAGCUGCUGAAGAAAUGCGUCACCUUACCCAGGAUGACCAAGACCGAAGGCCCCAACAUAGGGAGCUUCAUCAAGAAAGCCCAAUUAAUGACGAUGAGUGGUAUGGUGACUUUCAUCGUGGCAAUUUUGCUUUUGAUGAUGCUUCUCCCUUGGCAGCAGAAUUGCAGGCUACCCCGUGGCCGCCAUCAUACAAGCCACCUCAGCUCCCCAUGUAUGACGAGCACUCAGACCCGAAGCAACCAUAUCCUCAUAUGGGGGCAAUACUGCGGUCAUGGCAAAGUCCUUCGUCAUGGCAGUUAGAAGCGUGGCUCAAACAUGGUGCUCUUCUCUUCGGCCAGGGACAAUUACGUCGUGGCAAAAGCUAAAAUACAUACUGGUCACUAGCUUCUAGGGUUUCCAAUCGAAACCAGUUACUGUCCAAACUCUGUUCCAGUGCACACAGGACCAAGAAGAAUACCUCCAAGCGUAUGUCCGAAGGUUCCUGCGAUUGAGAGUUCAGGCGCCUACAGUGCCCAAUGAGAUUGUCAUUGAGGCCAUGAUCAAGGGGUUCAGACCAGGACCAACGGCGCAAUACUUUGCAAGGAAGCCACCACAAACCCUAGAGAAGCCGACGAUGAUUUUCGGCAAAGAAGGCAAGAAGCCUACAGAUACUCUGAGAUGGCCAGGGGCUUCGGAGGAAGAUUUCACCCUAGGCAUGUCAGGUCAAUCCAUAAUACCAGCUCAAGUGACGACAAGGGAAACCAUACCCAAAGGCAGCAACACAGCUCUCAGUCGUCAGGAGCACAACAAAGCUCUUUGAGGCCACCGGCUCCAAGAGGUAGAGGGGGGAGAAGCUUCGGAGGAAGAUAUGGAGAUCAGCCCAGUAAACAGUUUUGUUUGUUCUGCGGUGAAGAUAAGGGGCAUACCACAAGAACGUGCCAAGUUAUGAUUCAGAAGCAGAAAGAAAUUGCUGAAGCUGAAGCACGUUCGAAUCAGCCGAAGCAGGUUCUGCAUACUGCUUCGUGCUACUCUCCCUACGUCCCGGAGUAUGUAGACAAUCAACAGCCUACGACCUUGGUCGCUUCGGCAAGCCAUUCUCAAGCUUCCUGGGCCCAGUUGCCACCACCACCACCGCUAGCACAUGCUCUGGUCCGCAAUCAAUAGCCAGAAGGGCACCACCAUGCUUAGUAAUAGCGCGACCUUCGGGAGGAGUCCGAAGCUCGCACAGUCAACAACAUUGUGCCUAAGUCGAAGCACAUCUAUUAAAGGUGCCACGGUGAUUCAAUUAAAGAAUAUCUUACCCUAAUGUAUCUUAGUUUUUCCGCCAUUUUAUUUUCUUGCAUGAAAAACAAUUCACGAAGGAUUAAUUUCCAAUUUGAUGUAAUAAUACCGUGGUCGCACCAUCGAGUGUGGAGCGCAUCGCCUUAACAAUACUUCCGAAGCUACAAAGACGUUCCUAAGGGAGCGCGGAGUAAGUUCUGAAGCUACAAAGUUGUUCAUAAGGGAGCGCAGAGUAAGUUCCGAAGCUCAAAAGUCGUUCUUAAGUGAAUGCAGAGCCAAGAUGCCACCAAAAUAAAAGGUGAAGAAGCUCAAAAGUCAUUCCUAAGGGGAUGCAGAGCUUAAAUGCCACCGAAAUAGAAGGUGAAGAAGUUCCAAAGUCGUUCCUAAGGGGAUGCAGAGCUUAGCUCCAAAGAUGUUCCUAAGGGGAUGCAGAGCUGAAAUAUAACCUAAGUAAAAAGUGAAGAGACUCAAAAGUCGUUCCUAAGGGGAUGCAGAGUCUGGAUGCAUUUUCGAGUGGGUGUGUUUCUUCGGCAUAAACAUCAUGCUGUAUCAUAUCAUCACAUCAUUUCUCAUAGCAUUACAUCAUACAUCACAUCACAUCAGCAACAGAACUGUGGAGAAGCAAAGAUGCUUCUUUCAAAAUAUUUGAUGAAUGGAACAAUGGGCUGAAGCAGAAAGUGUACCUUCAACAGCUAUAAUUUUACAUACCAAGAAAAAUCUUCGUCGACAAACAAUAUUAUAUAACAGCUACGACAUAAGAAGGGGUGAUUUUUUAUUUGUGAAGCAUGAAAAGAAGGGAAGGUGUUUUUUCACCAAAGGCUAAAAAACAGGUAAGUACAUACAUUUCAUGCAUCACAAAGAAAUAUAUUACAUUAAUAUACAAACAAAUGUUCGAUGUUCGACUCAUACACGAAUAUUACAUUUCUUAGUACACAAGAAUUUAGUCUUCUUUCAAUAUUUUCUCGGUAGCUUCAUGUAGGAGUUUGUUGACAGCUUCAUCAACGGCUUCUUCGGCAAUCCUUAUCGUUUCUAAUGCCCCCCUCAUGGCCGGAUCGGCCUCGGGAUCAUAUGGCUCAGGCGGUGGUGAAAAAUCAGCUGUAAUAAAGAACAAGUUGUUAAUAUCAAAGCCAGAAACAAAUACUGAAGCUAAAAUUCAGUAAUAAUACCUAUACGCCUUGCGCGCUCAGCAACCUCUUGGCUCGCUUAGCUUAUUCUCGAGCAUCAUGGGAUUCUUUUUCAUUUGUCUUUAUAGCUUCAUCGGCUAUCUCACGGCCACCUUUCAUCCAAACAUUGGAAUAAAACUUCUCGCCCAUCAAAGUAGCUUCGGCCGAAGGCUCCUUCAUGUCGUCUAUGGAGAAGACGGCUUCCGCCUGGGCUGCAGUUUUAACAUGUUCACAGCCAGUUUUCUCCAAAACUGCUGCAACCCCUCGGGCACCGGCGAAGGCACAAAAAUCCUCGCGUUCGCUAAGUAUUUCCUCAAAAGCUUCAACUUCUUCGCAAAUCCAUUGAACGACUCCUUUUGGAUCGCCUCGAAUAAAUUUUUGCUCCGAUGAGUAUGCACCCACCUUUGCAAAACUGUCUUUCAGUUUCUUUGCAUAGUCCAUGGAUACUUCGUAGCAUUUCUCUCUGGAACCCCGAAGUUCUUCAACAUUCUUCUCAAGCCUGGAGCUUGUCCAUUCACUUAUAUCUUACUUUGCCUUAGCAAGUUCAAUAUUUUCGCUCAUUUCGGCAAGUUUUUUGUGAAGGUCUUCGACUUCGGCUUGGUGAGCUUCGGAUUGUGCAUUAAGUUUUGCUUCGUUGCUCUUCAGUUUAUCCACCAAGGAAAGCAGUAUUUUAUCUUUUUCAAGCGCCUCGUUCCUUAAUGUAAUAACUUAUGACCGAAGGUUCCCAAGGGCUAUUUGGCAGCUUUCAUCUUCUGCAUUCUUUUGUGCCCUUAAAGCCUUGCUUAGGAUUAAUGCCUACAAAAAAUGAAGGAUCAGCACACAACAAUAAGAAAAGAUACAAAAAGUAAUCUGCUUAUAAGCUAAAAUGUCCUCACCAUCAGACUGUUAUAAGCAAGGAUGUCUGCAAGGUCAUCUUUCGACAUUGCAGACAACCCAAGCUCUAGCUUCGGGAAACCUAUAUUUUUUGCCAUCUCCCGACAAACAAAUAUUUUCUUGUUGUCUGGAAGGCAAUACAAAAAAUCAUCUUCGUCAGUGCCAUUAAACAUGAGGGAUCCUGGGGGAUACUUCAGAUCCUUAGCAAAUUGCCUAGCUUCGGCAACCUGCUCCUCUGAUAGUUUUUCCCUACCGCGUGACACACUAUAAAUUCCGAUCCCUCAGUAGAAGCUUCAACGGCAAGGAAUUCAGAUUCUUUGCUGGUUCUCUCUUUUCCUAACGGUAACGGAGCUUUUUCAGCAUCCAAAGGUCCUUUUUCAGCAUCCUUUUCAAUAAGCUCUGCAGGCCCUAUUUCUGCGGGAACUGAGGGCCCAGCUUCAGCUUCAACCCAAGUUAUGAUAGCUUCGGCAGUUUCCUUUGUACUUUUCUUACCCAUGCUAGGUACUUCUGUAGAGGCAGGAGUUAGUACUUUUGUCGAUUCCAUGACAGCAUCCAGUACACUAGCCAUUCUCCUCCUUUUUGGAGUUAUCAAAGUAGUUUUUUGAAUCUUCGGCAAUUCUGCCUCUGGCCGUGAAAAAGUUUUUGGCUGCUCCGCUGCUAUCUUCAGAAUUGGCUCUUCGGCUGAUCCCAAUAUGGCUUCGGCAGUAGCGAGAUGAUUUUGCUCAGCUGCAGAAGAAGACCCUUCAACAGGCUUUGACACUUUGGCCGUCUCAGAGUGCCUGGGCCGGUGUGUCAAGACUUUGCCAUUUUUCCCUUCGGCGUGGCAGAGAUUGCCGAAGCAGUAGCCUUCCUUUUCUUUCCCUGCUUUCGCGAGGGAUAACAAUAGUCUGGGUACACAAAACCAAUUACAUCAAAAACCCUAUUUAAUCUCUUCUUGCCUCGUCCUCCGAAGGCCAAUGUCAUGGCAUCGUCUUCGGCCCUUGUGUAGGCCCCAAGCAAUUCGUCACUAGUAGCCUCAAUGCAAUCCAACCAGUCAUCGUUCGGCUCAUCGAACUGAUCUCUGUAUCUGAAGGUGUAUUUCAGAUAAACUAAACUAACUUGACUGGACCCGGCCGCAGCUUCCUUCGACAUCUCCCAGCCACUUCCAAGAGGCCACACUCUGUAAGCAAUAUGCUCCUAGACUAAGUCCCUAGUGCCAAUAUAAGUACAUAAAGUGUUAAAGUCCGUAUGGCAUGCUUGAAUAUCAUGUCCAUGGACAGUGGUUGGCCUCCUAAUGCCGAAGCGAGACCAGAUAGGGCAUUGAAUGAUCCCCUUUAUAUCUUCUCUUUCAACUAAGUUGUUCUUCACAUAAAACCACUCUUGCAUCCAGGCUCCUGGCCACCUCUUCCAAAAUGUUGGGACGGGAUAGCUCACACCAGAGCGAGGCAUGAAGCCGUAACAACGAAAAUUAUUAUGAUAUUGUUCUAUGCCAGUAGCCUUUGUCUCAUAGGACAGGUCAUGCAUGUUGCAGAAGCAUUUUGCAUUCGGCUCUAAACCCUGGCCCAAAUGAAAACUCCCAUUCUGAUGAUAUCUUCGGGGGUAAUUUGAUGAAGGUAAAUUUCAAAAGUCUUCAAAACUUCAACUAAAAAUUUGUUCAGGGAGAAUCGAAGCCCUGCUUUCAUAGAACUCCUGUAGACAACAACUUCGUCUGCUUCGGGCAUAGGGGCACUGCUAUCUCCUCUGGCCCUCAUGAUAGAAAUAUCGCGGAAGUAUCUUCCUUUCAUUGCAUCAAUCUGACUCUGUUUGAUGGUUGAUUUAGCAAAGAUGGUAUGACUCGGUCGCCAGGGCUGAUCUUCGACAUCUUCGUUUCCACUUUCUAAGUCAAAACUUUCACUAUCGCUGGAAUCUUCAGACAACCCAACCAACAUCUCAUUGGUGAUCUUCUUCAUAUUUGUCUUCUCCAUAGCUUCAUAAAACCCGGCCAAUGCAGGGUCAGCAAUCUUCUUCUCUUUAGCCAUUUAGACAACGAUUGCACGAUUGUCGAAGCUUAAAACUCAAUCAAAACUCGACAGAGCAAGAGAAUUCAGAAUGUCUAAAAUAGCGCAAGCAACUGAAAUAGCACAGCAAAUGCUGCCAAUGCGAGUUUCUAUUUAUAUGCCUCACGAUUUGGUGGGCCAUACAUGUCAGUGGCUUUCGCUAUUCUAGCGAAGGGAAGGUGUUUUUUCGGAUCUUCGGUUAAAGGCCUUCGUUCACGUCACAGUCUAAAUUUGUUACAAAGAAACAAAUUAAUACUACGAGGGGCUACUGUUGGGGGCCUUCCUUUUCCGAAGGUCCUCAAAAACGUGGCUAACCAUAUGUUUUCAGUAUGACAUAGACUAUUAUAGGAAGCUUCGGCUUUGGGAUGAAGGCGUGUGAUAUGAGGAUACAACCCGAAUGCAACAUGGAUGGACGUCGAAGCUAUGGCUAAAGGAGCUUCAGCUUGGCAUGUUAGCGAAGAUGAAGGACGAAACCGACCUAAGGGAGAAAAGACUACUUAGUCCUUGAUAGUUUGCAUUAUGAUUAAGAGUAGAUGUCAGGGGCAUGAAUGUAAUCUUAUCCGGGCUAUGUCCCGUGCCUAUAAAUAGAUGAGAAGUAACACCGUACUGUUCACGCUGGAUUGUAAUCGCUCCUACAUCACUCUCGCAUCUUCACCUUUUGGCAAGCCGAAGGUAUCAAUGUAAUACAAAUAUUGAUUAUGUUUAUUCAUGCUUAUGAAAUGAGAAUAUAAAUAGCUUGCUGAUUCAUAACCAUUAUUUAUAUUCUUUUGUAUUUCAUGUACCCUUAUUUAUAUGUGUUCACUGAGAUGAUGAAGGUAUGCCCUUCAUGACCUUCGUCCGGAAACCAUUAUAUCCAAAAGGAGAUAAUGCUUCGAAGGACGAAGGUCUCUAAUUAUUGACAAUCGUGUUGUCUUGUUCUUGAUGUAUAGCAUUUGGGAAUAAGGACCAAUAGCUUGCUUCUUUGCCGAGUGCCAAGGCCACAGCACUCGGCAAAGAGUCUUUACCGGUGCGCAGGUGUGCCUUCUUUGCCGAGUGCUAUGACAUUGACACUCGGCAAAGUAUCUCUUUGUCGAGUGUAACACUCGACAAAGUGACCAGAUUAUCCCUUUUUAUUUGUUUUUGCUAUUCCAUCCAAACAAAUAAAAGAUAUAUCGCAUAAUCAUCACAUAUACAUCAUAGAUAUCACAUAAUCAUCGCAUACAUAAUAGAGACUGCAUAUUUCACAAAAAACACAAAUCUCACAAGUUUUUCUCAAACAUGUCCAUGUUCAUACCAAGAUUCACUAACAUAAGUAUCACACAACUCUAAAACAUAAGUUUUUCACAAACAUAAGUUUAGGACAAGUUUAUCACACAAGCUAAGAGAAGAUCAUGAGCGAGGUGGGCGGCUGGACUGGUGCGGCGACGGGCUGGGCGAUCCACGAGGGUUGUUGGAUGCCGCCCUAGAUUGUCCCUGCACAGAGAAGAGAUUGCCUGUGUUAUACUAGAUAAAUAUACAUCAUGCAGGACUAGAAUUUUGAUACUCAUAGGAGUAUGGAACUGAGCAGGGUCAACUGGAGGGAACAACGGAGGUGGUGGAGCAAAACCCUGUGCGGUGCCAAGGCUCUGCAUGUACUGGAACAUCUCUGCCAUCCUCUGUUGAUUUUCCAUGUGGGCCUCCCGCUCCGCCAUCAUCCUCGCCUCCAUAUCCUACCGUUCCCUCCUCUCUUCUUCUAGCUAGGCAUAUAAUAUUUCAACCCAGUGUUAUAAUAACUCAAAGAGAAGGUAUAUAACUCAAGGAAAGACGAGUUACAGAAGCACUAACCUGGAGUUGUUGUAUCUCAUGAUGUGAGUUGUCCUGUCGAGGUCGUAUGGCUGGGCUUGAGCUCGUGGUCCUUGCUCGCACCUGAGACAGAGUGGGAGUGGACAACGAGUCGAUUGUCCCGUCGGCAAUCCAGUACCUCCCAUGCCUCUUGCCUCCUCUGACCCUCAUGAGAACAUCUCCGUCGAUUUCCUUGGUCCUCGGAUCGUAAUCUGGCCCAUGGACCUCAUGUGACAUGGCAGUGUACUCACUUAGGCGGUUGUAGACGGCGGAGUUGCUAUAUGCCUCGGGCCCGUCAUCCGGGUUGUAGGUGACAUCGGACGUCGCCUUUCCCUUGUGGGCCAUAGCAUAAACCGAGAAGAUGGAGCAUGGCUGGCCACCAUGUAACACCAAAUGCAAUAAAAUCAAUGAGAUAGUUAGAAAUAAUAUCUAAACCAGUGCUAUAUACCUAAAUAAAAAGAGGGCGUACCCAUGCUUCUACAUAUUUCCAGAGGUUGCGACUGCCUUGGUGGUGGGAGGGACCUUACAUCAUCAAAUGUCGUUCCAUGCUAGCGUUGUGCGCCUCGUCCCACUUAGGCGAGCACCACCUAUCCACCAUCUGCUCCUAGCACUGAGGAUGCGCGGCGCACCAAUAAGGAAUCAUCUACAAACUAAAACAAGUACAUUGCAUAUCAGAAGAUAAAAUUAAGCAAUUUUUUUCACGAAUAUUAAAGUGAUGUAUUUACCUGCAAGUAUUGGUCCCUAGUCAACGACAUGGUUCGGGCCUCUUGUUUGGUCACCUUCUCUCUAAGGACGGAGCCAUGGUAGAUGAUGAUGACCUAGAUUCGUGCAUCGUAGUGCAUGUCCACGACGAGCUUCUUACAGCUUGUGGUGGCCACCACAUUUGCCCUGGCCUCGUAUCCAGCCUCGCAUCUGAAGAAAUCCUACAUACAAAGGCGAUAUAUCCAUACAUUAUUUCAAGUAUGUGCAACAAAUGCGACAUAUUUUACAAUAUAGUAAGACUUACUCAUAGCUUUUGCUUCACCCGCUCUGCCAUGUUGUUAAAUUCCCUAUCGUCCUAGUCUACUGCAUCAGGGGUGACGACGUAGUGGUCGAAGGUGUAGGCAGUAGGUUGGGCCCACCACUCCAGCGUACUCAACCAGUCCAGGGAAGUGUUCCCUACACAUAAGGCCAAGGAUGCCAUUGGGUUGUGGUCGUGACUCCCUGCAUUCUCCACAACCUUUCAAGACCUGUCCAAGUGAUAAAUAAAAAGUAUUAGUUUAUAUUAUGAAUUUGAACACAUAAUAUGAACAAACAGUGAGAACAUAAAAUUACAUGUCUCUCCCCAUCCUUCUGAAUCAGCGACCGCCUAUCUCGAAGUAUGGGACGCUGAGGGAGACUCGUGGGACCUCGCUGGUAGACGUUCCUCGAAUCUGAAGCACCAGAACCUGAGGCGUCUUGCUGAGCGUCGUCGUCGUCCUACUGUGUCGCAUCGAUAACGACCUGCUGCUGGACGUCGUCAUCCUGUUGUGCCUUCUUCGCCUUCCUACGGGUGCUCCUCCUCCCCCUCCUUGUCCUCAUCCCACCGCCCACCAUAUUUGUCCAACAACCUGUAAUUAAGGGUAAGCAAAUAAGCACAUAUAAAAAAGUUUAUUUACAAAUAGGCGUGAAAUAAAAAAAAUAGCAUUACAUCGUUUAAAAAAAUCUUCAUAUGUGUCGGGGUUAGCCAGAUCAUAAGUGUCAUCAUCACAAUCAACCAUUUCAUAGUCAACACCAUCUGAAGGCGCAAGUUCUUCAUUAAUGUCAUUGCCUUCAAGUAAUUCUAAGUCAUUCUCAUUUUGCACCUCAUCAACAACCAUUUCAAUAUCUACUUCCAUUCCGAUAGCUUCGGUUAAGUCUAUCUCAAAUCACCCUUCUAGCCCAUAUUCUUGGAAGAACUCUCCAUCAUAUGUAUCCGGGUCUAAGUUAUAAUCUUCAUCAUUUGGAACAGGUAAUUUACCGUGCAGUGAUACCUUAUACACAACAUCCCAACCCAUCCAUGCCUCAUAUAGGAGAUGAAGAAUCAAAUGCUGCAUUGGAUUGAAGAAGUCGAGUGGAAAUAUCUUCUCAAGCUUACACAAAAACACGGGUGUCAAUCUUUCCAAGUCUGCAAUCACGGACCAAGAUAACUCUUUCACACAAAGCUGGCAGAAUAAAUAGCUGAACUUUGUAAGCGCUAGCCAUACAUGCUCAGGGACAUAGCCUCGAACCAUCGUCGGAAGAAUCUGUUCAAUCCAUAAGUGGAAGUCAUGACUCUUCAUCCCUAAGACUCACAGAGUAGAUAAGUUCACCCCCCUACUUAGGUUAGCUGCAUACCCAUCAGGAAACAUCAACAUCUUGAUCCACUAAAGUACUUCCUUCCUCUGGGCCCUACUUAGGACGAAAUCGGCCUUAGACCUUCUCCAUGUCUUUCCACCACUAGGCGGCUUCAUUUCUUGGUUUGGUCUAUCACAUAACGCUGUCAGAUCCACUCUUGUCUUUACAUUAUCCUUUGACUUAUCAGGAAUGUCCAUAAUUGUUGCCCAAAGUGCCUCGGCGACAUUCUUUUCAGUGUACAUCAAGUCAAUGUUGUGUGGAAGGAGUGGGUCAUCAUAAUAGGGGAGCCGAGUCAAGCCCGACUUAUGUGUCCACAUAUGCUGCUCACCAUAUCCCACAAAUACACCUUCUGGAUUGGCCACGAGCCCAUCUAUUUGUUGACGAAUUUCGGCACCAGUCAUCAUUGCAGGUGGUUGGUCUGUCACUACAACACCUUUCGUAAAGUUAUUGAUGUCUAGGCGGAAUGGAUGGUUAGGAGGGAGAAAUUGUUGAUGUUUAUCGAACAACGAAUAUUUGCCACCCUUUUUCAACCAAAUGAACUUAAGAGCUUCCUUACAAACUAGGCAUGGGAACUUACUGUGAACACAAUAGACACAGAAUAGCCCAUACGCCGGUAAGUCAUGCAUGGCGUACUAGUACCAAACAUGCAUUUUGAAGUUUUUCUUCGUAGCUCGGUUAUACGUCCAUACCCCUUCCUCCCAAGCAUGUACGAUUCAUCAAUCAAAGGCUCCAUGUACACGCCCAUUUUAUUCCCCGGGUGUCCGAGAAUUAUCAACGACACAAAUAUGUUCUGCCUUUAAAAGCAUACACCGGGGGGAGAUUGAUUGGGAUAACAAACACGGGCCAACAUGUGUAUGGGGCAGCGCUCAUUCCAUAGGGAUUGAACCCAUCUGUGGCCAGCGCAACACGUACAUUAUGAGCCUCUUCAGCUUUCUCGCGGUAAAUGGCAUCAAAGUGUUUCCAUGCUUCACCAUCGGAUGUGUGCACCAUCUUAUCAUGAUUGUAUCGUUUGCCAUUUUUGUGCCAUGUCAUCUGUUUCGCGGAUUCCUCAGUCAUGUAUAGACGCUGGAUCCUCGGUGUGAACGGAAGGUGGUGUAGGAUUGUCACGGGGAUGUCGAGCUGCCUAUCAUGUCCAUCACCAAAGUCUACCUCCAUGAACCUAGACGAUUUACACUUCGGACAGUACUUUGCUUCCGUGUAUUCUUUCCUAAAUAGCACGCAGUCCUUCGGACAAGCAUGUAUCUGCUCAUAUGUCAUCUUGAGUGCACGGAGGAGUUUCUGUGUGUUGGGGACCUUCGGCAUCCGAAGGUCCUCAAAAACGGGAUUUAACAGUAUUUCUGGAAGUAUAAUGUGUGAGCAGGUACCUUCAGACUCAAGUCGGUAUCACGGCAGGAGAAGACCCGGAUAAUACGAAGGUCUUGAUACAACGCCGAAGAUGUUAGCAGGAAAGCUUCGGCAUGGUUGCAGAAAAUGAAACCGACUUAAAGAUGAAAAGGCUAUUCAGACCUCGAUAGAUUACUAUAGAAUUAUUAUCAAAUGUAAAGGGCAUGAAUGUAAUUUUGUAUGGGCUGUGUCCCGUGCCUAUAAAUAGGUGAACAGAACCCCCGUACUGUUCACGCUGACUUGGCAUUCGCUUUUUGCGUCACGCUUGUACUGUCAUCUCCUUCCGAUUGAAGGUACACUUGUAAUUCAACGAUAUUUCUGUUUAUGUCUGAUAAUAAUAUAUAAUUGUUCAUAUUGUCUUUUAUGUUCUUUACAUUUCAUUCUUCGUCAUUGCUUAAUGAAUUUAUGAAGGUACGUCCUUCAUAACCUUCGUCCGUAAACCAUUAUAUCCUAAGGGAAAUAAUGUUUCGGAGGGCGAAGGACUUUAACGAUUAACAUUUUCUAUGUUGCCUUGUUCUUAACUCAUAGCACUUGAGAACAAGUCCCCAACAUUGGCGCCCACCUCCGGUGAACUCACUUCCACUCUUUGAAGUUUUUUGAACACCUUCGGCGAUCAUAAAUCUUCGUUAUGGCGCCGAAGAAAGCUUCAGCGACUGGGGCUGCAGCUCUGCAACCACUGGACCACAAUCAGGAGACAGUUUCCCUGCGGGAGGCCCGAAGCCAGAAAAGGAAGGCUGUCAGUCCGACACCACCAGAGGACGAGAUAGAUCAAGAAAUCAGAGAUAUGGAGAUGCUUCAUCAACAAGUACAGAGGAAGAAAGAAAAGAUGGCCAGGCUAGCUGAACUGCAGAGGCAGAUAGACGAAGCCUCUGAAGAAGUUCGUCAUCUUGCUCAGGAUGAGCAACACCGAAGGCCUCAGCACCAAGACCUUCAUCAGGAGGGUUUUCCCAACGAAGAUGACUGGUAUGACAAUUUCCAUCAUGGGAAUUUUGUUUUUGAUGAUGCUUCUCCUCUGUCCGCUGAGCUGCAGGCUACACCUUGGCCUCCGUCCUACAAGCCGCCUCAGCUUCCCGUAUUCGAUGGUCACUCAGACCCGAAGCAGUUUUUGAUGAGCUACGAAGCAACAGUAUCUUCGUAUGGUGGCAAUGCUUCAGUCAUGGCCAAAUCUUUCGUUAUGGCUGUCAGAAGUGUUGCUCAAACCUGGUAUUCCUCCCUUCGACCAGGAACGAUCACUUCAUGGCAGAAGCUGAAGGACUUGUUGUUAACUAGCUUUCAAGGAUUUCAGACGAAGCCGGUCACUGCUCAGGCUCUGUUCCAGUGCACCCAGGAUCACGAAGAAUACCUUCAGGCGUAUGUCCGAAGGUUCUUGCGUUUGAGGGCACAGGCACCAACGGUGCCCAAUGAAAUUGUCAUCGAGGCCAUGAUCAAGGGGCUUCGGCCAGGACCGUCAGCUCAGUACUUCGCCAGGAAGCCUCCUCAAACUUUGGAGAAGCUGCUCCAGAAGAUGGACGAGUACAUUCGGGCCGAUAAUGAUUUUCGCCAAAGAAGGGAGGAGGCUUUCAGGUUUUCUGAAAUGACCAGGGGCUUCGGAGGGAGGUUCUACCCGAGGCACGUGAGAUCAAUUCAUAACUCUACACAAAAAUGAUGAUAGAGGAAGCCAACAGCAAAGGCCACAAUGCUCCUCACAGGCUUCGGGGCAACAGCAAAGCUCCUUCCGACCACCAGCUCCAAGAGGCAGAGGCGCCAGGGGCUUUGGAGGAAGAUUUGGAGAUCAACCGAGAAGAAUCUUUUGCUUAUUCUGCGGUGAGAACAAAGGCCAUACUACCAGGAUGUGCCAUGUUACUAUUCAGAAGCAAAAGGAAAUAGCUGAAGCCGCAGCACAACAAGCUCAGCCGAAGCAGGUCAUGCAUACAACUUCGUAUCAUUCGCCCUACAUCCCAGAAUAUGUGGGCAACCAUCCUGCAGUUUCUGUUGCUUCGGCAAGUCAGCCUCAAGCUUCCUGGCAACAGCCUCCGCCUCCACCUCCGUUGCAACAAGGCCAGCAACCAGAAGGGAGCCAGUAUGCUCCACACCAGAGGGACUUCAGAGAGCAGUCCGAAGCUCGUACAGUCAAUAGCACUGUGCCAGAGUCAAAGCACAUCUAUUGACGAAUAUCCUACCUUAAUAGCAAUCUUUUUCAUUCAGUUUUAUUUUCUGUAAUAAAGGACAUUGUUUAGGUUUCAUGUAAUUAGUUUCGUUGAUUCCUACAAGAAAAAUAUGUUUUCCUCACAGGCUUAAAUUGAUUGAAGUUCAAAGACUUGUGAUAAAAAAAAGGACCUUCGAACUAUCGAAAAUUCUUCGAAGCAACAAAAAGUCGUUCUAAGGAACGCAGAGUAAGUUUGCCGAAGUCACAAAAAGUCGUUCCAAAGGGAGCGCAGUGUAAGUUUUCUGCUCCAAAGUCGUUCCAAAGGGAAUGCAGAGCAUACAGCGAAAAGUCAACGCUGAUACCGCCUAAGUAAAAGGCGAAGCGCGAAAAGUCAACGCGAAUACCGCUGAAAGUAAAAGGCGAAGAAGCUCCUAAGGGAGGCUUACAGCGAAAAAUAAACGCUGAUUCCGCUGAAGUAAAAGGCGAAGAAGCUCCUAAGGGAGGCUUAUAAAAGAUGUGUUUUAUUGCAGGGAUGCGUAUGUAUCUUCGGAAUAAACGUCAUCUCACAUAACAUAACAUCAUCGCAUCAUUUCGCAUAGCAUAAGCAUCAUACAUCAUUUUGCACAUGGCACAAGAGGUGGACACAUUAUUAAUCUACAGAAGAACGCUUUGAAAAAAGGGAGAAAUCAAAGUCACAAAAAGAUACAUCAUUGAUCUUCGGAAGUGUAUCUUCGGAAGUGUAGCUUCGGAAAAUAUCUUCACGAAGCCUGGAUAUUAAUCAUCAGAACAUUGGAUAUUGUUGUGACAAAGAAAAAUUCUUCUUCACGAAGCAUGAAAAGAAGGGAAGGUGUUUUUUCGUCAAAGACUCAAAAGUGGUACGUGUAAAGUUUCAUGCAUCGUAAAGAAUUGACUAACAAAAAUAGGUAUAUUACAUUUGGGGUUACAAAAUGUUACAGUAUAUUACAUUUCAGAAAGUUUUCACAAAAAUACUUAAUCUUCUCUCAAAACGACUUCUGCAGCCUCGUUCAGGAGCCGAUUGACGACUUCGUCCAUAAUAUCUUCAGCCAUCUUUUUAAUUUCGUCGUCUCCUUUCGGCUGAGGGCCCGAAGACGCUUUAGCACGAUCUGAAGUAAGACAGCAUGCGGCUACAUUGCUAUUACAAAUCGCAAACAAAUCUUAAAGCCUAAGAUUACAACACGAUAAAAACUAUUAGUUAAUACCUAAUUGACCUUCGGCCUCUGCGCUCUUUUCAGCAGCCUCAGCCACUUCUCUAGCAUCGUGAAUGCCCUUUUCACUUCUUCGAAUAAUUUCUCCGGCCAUUUCUCAGCCACCAUUAUCCCAGAUAUCGGUAAAACAUUUUCCACCAAUUAUACUAGCUUCGGCCGAAGGAUCUCUUGCAUCUUCAAAGGGCAAAGCAGCUUCGGAUUGUGCUAAAAUUUUUACAUGUUCGCAGCCCUUCUUCUCUAAGAUGGUGGCAAUCCCUCUGGCACCAGAGAAGGCACAUAUAUCUCCUCGGCUAUUUAAAAUUUCUUCGAAGGCUUCAGCUUCGUGGUCGAUCCAUUCGAUGACACCUUCGGGAUUGCUUCUCGAAAAGUUUUCCUCACUUGAGAAUGCGCCGACCUUGGCGAAGCUAGCCUUUAGCUUCUUAACACAAUCUAUAGAUUUAUUAUAGCAUCUCUUUUUGGACGAACGAAGCUCUUCAACAGUCACUUCUAGGUGAUCUGCCCAUUGAUCGCUGAGUUCACGCUUUGUUUCUUCAAGUAUGCGUUCUUCCUUGGCUCUGGCCAGUUGUUUCCGAAGAUCUUCAAUUUCGCGCUUCUGAGCUUCAGCUUGACCUUUAAAAGCAGCUUCGUCUUCCUUUAUUUUAUUUAUCAAUGAGUAUAAUAUUUUAUCUUUUUCGAGACCUUCGUUCCUCAGUUCAAUUACUUCGGAACGAAGGUUGCUCAGGGCUAUAGUACACCCUUCGUCUUCAGCAUCUUUCUGUGCCCUGAGGGCAUUGCUAAGUAUCAGGCCCUGCAAAGAGAAAUAUGUGUGCGUCAAUAGGUUUAAACAAACGAAAAAUACAAGGAUUUCAUUUCUCGCACCUUUAAGCUAUUGUAAGCCAGGCUGUCGGCCAGAUCGUUCUUCGACAGCACCGAGAGCCCGUCUUCUAAAGUUGGGAAUCCGAAGCUCUUGCUCAUCUCCCGACAGACAGAAAUUUCCUUGCUAUCGGGGAGACAAUACAAGAAGUCUUCUUCUCCACUGCCAUUGAAUAUUAACGCCCCCUUUGGAUAUUUCAGUUUUUGGGCGUAGUGCUGGGCCUCUUGCUCUUCUUUUUCUGAUAGUUUUUUCCCCGAAGCAUGGCGAACAAUAUAAUCACGAACUUUGGGGGAUGCUUCGGGGGCAAUGGCACCGGUUUCUUCAACAAAAGUUGGCUUUGUUAUUUUUUCUGCCUCACUUUCCAAGGAUUUUAUCUUUGCAGGCUCUGAGGGCCCAGCUUCGGCUUUAGUCUCUUGCCCUGAAGCUUUAGAUCCAGAAAUUUCAGUUGUUUCAGGAAUGACAGCAGCCCUCUUCGGAGGUGUGCUUGAAGAUUUGAUCGUUUCCAGUACAUCUAGCACAUUAGCCAUUCUCUUUCUUUUCGGAGUCACUGCUGGCACUUUCACUAUCUCAAUGUUUGCUGCAGGACUCAAAACUUCUGAUGUUUUGGAUCCCUCAGUUGAUUCUUUUACCUUUUCCAUUUUUUCUGUGGACGGCGCUUCGGCUUUCUCUUUCGUUUCUGAUAACAAAAUUUUUGAUUGUUCCAAUUCUAUCUUUGUUGGCACUUCGGCCGUUUCUGCGACUUCUGGCAGCAAGGUUGGCUCGGUUGGUUUUUCAGCUUCGGUGGCCGAAGAAGUUUCUCCGGUAAACUCAGGCACCGAAGCUGGUUCAAUAUAGCGCGGCCGAUGCGUAAGGACCUUUAUCUUCUUUCUUUUCGGUUCUGGCUCGCUAGGAGCAGUUGCAGCUUCUUCUUUUGCAGAGGUUGUGUUUUUUCUCUUCUGCCUUCGAAUGGGAUAGCAAUAGUCAGGGUAGACAAACCCGAUUGCAUCAAAUACCCGAUUCAGCCUCUUCUUUUUUCGGCCUCCGAAGGCUGCUGACAUUGCAGUAUCUUCGGCCUUCGAAUAGGUCCCAAGCAGCUCAUCACUUAAAUUUUCAAUGCUUUUUAACCAGUCAUCAUCUGGUUCAACGAAUUUAUCUCCAAACUUAAAAGUGUACUUCAACCUGAUAAGUCCACCUUCGUCGGCCUCUUUUAUGGUUUCUUGUGGCAUUUCCCAUUUCUCCGCAAGUGGCCAUACCCUGAAGGCGAUAUGCUCUUGUACUAAGUCCCUCGUUCCAAUAAAAGAACAGAUAACACCGAAGGCCCUCUGGCAUUCUUCGGCAGCCUCACUCAUUUCAACCUUCGGCCUCCGAAGGCCGAAGCUUUGCCAAAUAGGGCGCAUAAUUAUACCUUUGAUAUCUUCUCGCGCUGUCAGAUCAUUCUUCACAUAAAACCAUUCUGUCAUCCAGUCGCCGGGCCAUCUCUUCCGAAAGGUCGGCACGGGACAGCUUGACCCGGACCGAGAAACGAAAUUGUAGCAGCCAAAAUUAUUGUGAUACUGUUCCUUACCCCAAGGUUUUGUUUCGUAUGAUAAUUCGUGUAUAUUGCAGAAACUUUUUGCAUCAGGCUUCAGACCUUGGCUUCUCACGGCCCACACGAAGAUAUUUAGCCUUAUAAUUGCCUCAGGGGUAAGUUGAUGGAGAUAGACUUCGAAUAUUUUCAGUACCUCCACAACGAAGCUGCUCAAGGGAAAUCGCAGUCCAGCUUUCAAAAAGCUUCGGUACACUACGACUUCAUUCUCUUCAGGGUGUGGGCAAGUUUUUUCCCCUUCGUCGGCCCUCACAAUGGACAAAUCCCGGAAAUACCUUCCUCUCAUGUUGACAAGAUGAUUCUCUUUGAUAGUUGAUUUACCAUAAACUGAAUGGCUUGGUCGCCAGGGACGAUCUUCGGAGUCCUCACCACCACUGUCCACAUCAUAGCUGUCACUGUCACCAGUAUCUUCAGACAAACCUUCCAGAAUCUCCUUGGUAAUUUUUUCUGUAUUGGUCUUUGACAUCGCUAUAAGAAACCCCAAGUUUUUCUCUUCGUCAAGGCUCAGCUUCAUCUCAGCAACAGUCUUCUUAUCUUCAGACAUCUUCGGAGACGCUAAAAAACUAUUUUCAAAGCCGAAGCUUCAAAACUAAAAGCUUAGCAAAUCGCAGUGCACAAGAGCUAAAAAUUGAGUGAGCGGGAGUAGUUGGCCAGAAAGCGUGUCAAAUGAGUUUGCGGUAUGGCCGUAUUUAUACGCCAAGAGCGUUGAAAAUUCAAAGACCCCGCUUGUCAGUGAAUGUUGCUAUUCUAGCAAAGGGAAGGUGUUUUUUCGGACCUUCGGCGUAAAGCCUUCGUCCAUGUCGCAAUCUAAAUUCGUUAUUUUAAAACAAAUUAAUAUUGCGAGGGGCUACUGUUGGGGACCUUCGGCAUCCGAAGGUCCUCAAAAACGGGAUUUAACAGUAUUUCUGGAAGUAUAAUGUGUGAGCAGGUACCUUCGGACUCAAGUCGGUAUCACGGCAGGAGAAGACCCGGAUAAUACGAAGGUCUUGAUACAACGCCGAAGAUGUUAGCAGGAAAGCUUCGGCAUGGUUGCAGAAAAUAAAACCGACUUAAAGAUGAAAAGGCUAUUCAGACCUCGAUAGAUUAUAUAGAAUUAUUAUCAAAUGUAAAGGGCAUGAAUGUAAUUUUGUAUGGGCUGUGUCCCGUGCCUAUAAAUAGGUGAACAGAACCCCCGUACUGUUCACGCUGACUUGGCAUUCGCUUUUUGCGUCACGCUUGUACUGUCAUCUCCUUCCGAUUGAAGGUACACUUGUAAUUCAACGAUAUUUCUAUUUAUGUCUGAUAAUAAUAUAUAAUUGUUCAUAUUGUCUUUUAUAUUCUUUACAUUUCAUUCUUCGUCAUUGCUUAAUGAAUUUAUGAAGGUACGUCCUUCAUAACCUUCGUCCGUAAACCAUUAUAUCCUAAGGGAAAUAAUGUUUCGGAGGGCGAAGGACUUUAACGAUUAACAUUUUCUAUGUUGCCUUGUUCUUAACUCAUAGCACUUGAGAACAAGUCCCCAACACUGUGCCUCAUACAUGCUCUUUGGUAGAACGUGAUCCUCCGGAAGCAGGCUACCAAUAACUGUCAACAAGCAAUCGAAUGCGUCUUGACUCAUGUUAUACUGCGACUUGAACGCUAUUACAUGCCCAAUGGCAUCCAGUUGAGAAACCUUUGUCUGGCUGUGAAGGGGCUUCUGUGCCACGUCAAACAUGUCGUAGAACGCCUUUGCAAUCGGCUCUAGCUCGUCCUCCAUACAUCCUCCGACGAACUAUGCCUCAUGAUAGUCGUUCAACAUAUCUGCUACCCCCGCAUCAGCAUCAUAAUCCUCGACGUGUUGUCUCUGAAAGGGAAAUAAGCUUACACCUUUUCCUAAAUGAUUUUGGUGGUUGAAUUGCCCAACACAAAUAAUUGGACUAACUAGUUUGCUCUAGGUUAUAAGUUCUAUAGGUGCCAAAGGUUCAACACAUACCAAUAAAAAGUCCAAGAAAGGGUUCAAAUAAAAAGAGCAAAAGACAACCGAAGGCUGCCCUGGUCUGGCGCACUGGACUGUCCGAUGUGCCACCGGACAGUGUCCGGUGCACCAGAGAGAUUCACUCCAAACUUGCCACCUUCGGGAAUUUGGGAAGCCACUCCGCUAUAAUUCACCGGACUGUCCGGUGUGCCAAGCGGAGCAACGGUCGCCAACGCAAUGGUCGAGUUCAACGGUCGGCUGACAACGCUACAGUGCGCGGACUACGCGCGUAGAAGUCAGAGAAGGCGCAGAUGGCGCACCGGACAGUGAAGAGGACCUGUCUGGUGCACCAUCGGACUGUCCGGUGGCCCACAUGUCAGAAACUCCAACGGUCGAACCCUAACGGUUGGGUGACGUGGCUGGCGCACCGGACAGUGUCCGGUGGCGCACCGGACUGUCCGGUGCGCCCAUCGACAGCAGAGUUCCCCAACGACCACUUUGGUGGUUGGGGCUAUAAAUACCCCCCAACCACCACACUUCGAUGCAUCCAAGUUUUCAGCCAUCAAACCUCAUACAAGAGCUCUAGACUUCAUUCCAAGACACAAACAAAGAGAUCAAAUCCUCUCCCAAGUCUGGAAUCACUCCAAACAAAUUAGUGACUAGAGAGAGAGAGACUUUUGUGUUCUUUUAAGCUCUUGUGCUUGGAUCGCUUUUCUUCUUCCUCCUUUCUUGUUCUCAACUCAAUUGUAAUCAAAGCAAGAGACACCAAGUUGUGGUGGUCCUUGUAGUGGACUAAGUGUCCCGUUUGAUUGAAGAGAAAAGCUCACUCGGUCUAGGUGACCGUUUGAGAGAGGGAAAGGGUUGAAAGAGACCCGAUCUUUGUGACCACCUCAACGGGGAGUAGGUUUGCAAGAACCGAACCUCGGUAAAACAAAUCACCGUGUUCAUCUGUUUUAUUUCUUUGUUGAUUUGUUUUCCCUUUCUUUCGGACUUGAUUAUAUUUCUAACGCUAACCCUUGCUUGUAGUUGUGCUUAAACUUUAUAAAUUUCAGAUUUGCCUAUUCACCCCCCUCUAGGCGACUUUCAAUUGGUAUCAGAGCCCGGUACUUCAUUAGAGCCUAACCACUCGAUGUCAUGUCGGGAGCUCACGCCAAGAAGGAGAUGGUGACCGGCGAGAAGCCCGCCACAAGCCACGGGAAGGCUCCAUCGGGAGAGUCCGGCAACAAAAGGGAGGAAUCACCUCCCCACGUCAAGUCGCACCGGAGUGGUGACCAGAAGAAGAAAAUGAAGAAAGUGUUCUACUGUGAGACCGAUUCUUCGUCGCCAUCCACCUCCACGUCCGACGCGCCGUCCGUCACUUCUAAGCGCCAUGAGCGCAAGAAGUUUAGUAAGAUCUCCUUACGCUAUCCUCGUAUUUCCAAAUGCACUCCUUUACUUUCCGUCCCACUAGGCAAACCACCGGUUUUUGACGGUGAACAUUAUUGUAUGUGGAGUGAUAAAAUGAGGCACCAUCUAACCUCACUCCACGCUAGUAUUUGGGACAUUGUUGAGUUUGGUGCGCAGGAACCAUCCGUGGGGGAUGAAGGCUAUGAUUCGGAUGAGGUAGCCCAAAUCCAGCACUUCAACUCCCAAGCCACCACUAUACUCCUCGCCUCUCUAAGUCGAGAGGAGUAUAAUAAGGUGCAAGGGUUGAAGAGCGCCAAAGAGAUUUGGGACGUACUAAAGACCACACACGAAGGAGACGAGGUGACCAAGAUCACCAAGAGCGAAACGAUCGAGGGGGAGCUCGGUCGCUUCAUGCUUCAUCAAGGGGAGGAGCCACAAGCAAUGUACAACCGGCUCUAGACCUUGGUGAACCAAGUGCGCAACCUCAGGAGCACCAAAUGGGAUGACCAUGAAAUGGUCAAGGUUAUUCUAAGAUCACUUAUAUUUCUUAAUCCUACACAAGUUCAAUUAAUUCGUGGUGAUCCUAGAUACAAGAUAAUGUCUCCCGAGGAGGUUAUAGGAAAAUUUGUGAGCUUUGAAUUGAUGAUCAAAGGCUCCAAGAAAAUCAUCGAGCAAGGCGCCUCCUCCACACCCGAAAUGCAACUCGUCGCAUUCAAGGCAACAGAGGAGAAGAAAGAAGAGUCUACUUCAAGUAGACUUCCCAUCGACGCCUCCAAGCUCGACAACGAGGAAAUGGCGCUCAUCAUCAGGAGCUUUCGCCAAAUCCUCAAGCAAAGGAGGGGGAAGGACUACAAGCCCCGCUCCAAGAAAGUUUGCUACAAGUGUGGUAAGCCCGGACAUUUCAUUGCUAAAUGUCCAUUAUCAAGUGAUAGUGACAGGGGCGAUGACAAGAAGGGGAGAAGGAAGGAGAAGAAGAAAUAUUACAAGAAGAAGGGCGGCGAUGCCCAUGUAUGCCACGAGUGGGACUCCGAUGAGAGCUCCACCGACUCCUCCUCCGACGAGAACGCCGCAAACAUCGCCAUCAACAAGGGUCUUCUCCUUCCCAACGUCGAUCACAAGUGCCUCAUGGCAAAGGACGACAAAAAGAAGAAGGUAAAAUCUAGAGCUUCCACUAAAUAUGCAACAUCUAGUGAUGAGGCUAGCUCUAGUGAUGAUGAGGAUGAUUUGAUCACCCUUUUUGCCAACUUAAACAUUCAACAAAAAGACAAAUUGAAUGAAUCGAUUAGUGUUAUUCAUGAGAAGGAUGAACUCUUGGAUAGCCAAGAGGACUUCCUUAUUAAAGAAAAUAAGAAGCAUGUUAAAGUUAAAAAUGCUUAUGCUCAGGAGAUAGAAAAAUGUGAAAAAUUAACUAGUGAUCUAAGCACUUGCCAUGACACUAUUUUCAACCUUAGAUUUGAAAAUGACAAAUUGAUUGCUAAGGUUGAGAAAUUAAAUGUUAGUGAUGAUUCUCUUGUCAACCUUAGAAAUGAUAAUGCUAAUUUGAUUGCUAAGGUUGACAAAUUGAAUGCAUCUCUCUCUAGCCUUAAAAUUGAGAAUGAAAAAUUAAUUGCUAAGGCUAAAGAUUUAAAUGUUUGCAAUGUUUCUAUUUCCAAUCUUAGAGAUGAGAACACUAUUUUACAUGCUAAGAUUGUUGAAUUAAAUACUUGCAAACCCUCAACAUCUACCGUUGAACAUGUUACUAUUUGCACUAGAUGUAGAGAUGUUAAUAUUGAUGCUAUUCAUGAUCACAUUGCUAUGAUUAAACAACAAAAUGAUCAUAUAGCAAAAUUAGAUGCUAAAAUUGCCGAGCAUGAAUUAGAGAAUGAAAAAUUUAAAUUUGCUCGUAAUAUGCUUUAUGGUGGGAGACGCCCUGGCAUUAAGGAUGGCAUUGGCUUCCAACAGGGAGGCGAUGUCAAACUCAAUGCCCCUAAGAAAUUGUCCAACUUUGUUAAGGGCAAGGCUCCCAUGGUUUAGGAUAACGAGGGUUACAUUUUAUACCCUGACGGUUAUCCCGAACAUAAAAUUAGGAGAAUUCACUCUAGGAAGUCUCACUCUGGCUCUCAUCAUGCUUUUAUGAAUAAGAGUGAGGCAUCUAGUUCUAGGAAAUCCACCCAUGCUAAAUUGCCUAAGAAGAAAACUCCUAUAGCAUCAAACGAACCUAAUUUUUCAUUUAAGACUUUUGAUGCUUCUUAUGUGCUCACUAACAAAUCAGGCAAAAUAGUUGCCAAAUAUGUUGGGGCUAAACACAAGGGAUCAAAGACUUGUGUUUGGGUACCCAAGGUGCUUGUUUCUAAUGUGAAAGGACCCAAGACCAUUUGGGUACCUAAGAACAAGGCCUAAACUUGUUUUGUAGGUUUAUGCAUGCGGGGGCUCAAGUUUGAUCAUCGAUAGCGGGUGCACAAACCACAUGACUGGGGAGAAAAUAAUGUUCUCCUCCUAUGAGAAAAAUCAUGAUCCCCAAAGAGCUAUCACAUUCGGGGAUGGAAAUCAAGGUUUGGUCAAAGGACUUGGUAAAAUUGCUAUAUCCCCUGACCAUUCUAUUUCCAAUGUUUUUCUUGUAGAUUCUUUAGAUUACAACUUGCUUUCUGUUUCUCAAUUAUGCAAAAUGGGUUACAACUGUCUUUUUACGGAUAUAGGUGUUACUGUCUUUAGAAGAAGUGAUGAUUCUGUAGCAUUUAAGGGAGUGUUAGAGGGUUAGCUAUACUUAGUUGAUUUUAAUAGAGCUGAACUCGACACUUGCUUAAUUGCUAAGACUAACAUGGGUUGGCUCUGGCAUCGCCGACUUGCCCACGUUUAAAUGAAGAAUCUCCACAAACUUCUAAAGGGAGAACACAUUUUGGGACUAACAAAUGUUCAUUUUGAGAAAGACAGGGUUUGUAGCGCAUGUCAAGCAGGGGAAGCAAGUUGGUGUUCAUCAUCCACACAAGAACAUAAUGACGACCGACAGACCGCUUGAGCUACUCCACAUGGACCUAUUCGGCCCGAUAGCUUAUAUAAGCAUCAACGGGAGUAAGUAUUGUCUUGUAAUUGUGGAUGAUUAUUCUCGCUUCACUUGGGUGUUAUUUUUGCAGGAAAAAUCUCAAACCCAAGAGACCUUAAAGGGAUUCUUGAGAUGGGCUCAAAAUGAGUUCGGCUUAAGGAUCAAAAAGAUAAGAAGCGACAACGGGACGGAGUUCAAGAACUCUCAAAUAGAAGGCUUCCUUGAGGAUGAGGGCAUCAAGCAUGAGUUCUCUUCUCCCUACACACCACAACAAAAUGGUGUAGUGGAGAGGAAGAAUAGAACUCUACUUGACAUGGCGAGGACCAUGCUUGAUGAGUACAAGACUUCGGACCGGUUUUGGGCGGAAGCAGUCAACACCGCUUGCUACGCCAUCAACCGUCUCUACCUUUGCCGAAUACUCAAGAAGACAUCGUAUGAACUACUCACCGGUAAAAAGCCCAAUGUUUCAUAUUUUAGAGUCUUUGGUAGCAAAUGCUUUAUUCUUGUUAAAAGAGGUAGAAAAUCUAAAUUUGCUCCUAAGGCUGUAGAAGGCUUUUUACUUGGUUAUGAUUCAAACACAAGGGCAUAUAGAGUCUUUAACAAGUCCUCUGGACUAGUUGAGGUUACUUGUGACAUUGUGUUUGAUGAGACUAACGGCUCUCAAGUAGAGCAAGUUGAUCUUGAUGAGCUAGAUGAUGAAGAGGCUCCAUGCGUCGCGCUAAGGAACAUGUCCAUUGGGGAUGUGUGUCCUAAGGAAUCCGAAGAGCCUCCACAAGCACAAGAUCAACCAUCUUCCUCCAUGCAAGCAUCUCCACCAACUCAAGAUGAGGAUCAAGCUCAAGAGGAUGAAAAUGAAGAUCAAGAAGAUGAGCCACCUCAAGAGGAGGGCAAUGAUCAAGGGGGAGAUGCCAAUGAUCAAGACAAGGAAGAUGACGACAGUCCAAGACCACCACACCCAAGAGUCCACCAAGCAAUACAAAGAGAUCACCCCGUGAACUCCAUCCUCGGCGAUAUUCAUAAGGGGGUAACCACUCGAUCUCGUGUUGCUCAUUUUUGUGAACAUUACACCUUUGUAUCUUCUAUUGAGCCAUAUAGGGUGGAAGACACAUUAAGGGAUUCAGAUUGGGUGUUGGCGAUGCAAGAGGAACUCAACAACUUCACGAGGAAUGAGGUAUGACAUUUAGUUCCACGCCCUAAUCAAAAUGUUGUAGGAACCAAGUGGGUCUUCCGCAACAAGCAAGAUGAGCAUGGUGUGGUGACAAGGAACAAAGCCCGACUUGUGGCCAAGGGAUAAUCACAAGUCGAAGGUUUGGAUUUCGGUGAAACCUAUGCACCCGUAGCUAGGCUUGAGUCAAUUUGUAUAUUACUUGCCUAUGCUACUUACCAUGGCUUCAAGCUUUAUCAAAUGGACGUGAAAAGUGCCUUCCUCAAUGGACCAAUCAAGGAAGAAGUCUAUGUUGAGCAACCUCCCGACUUUGAAGAUAGUGAGUACCCUAACCAUGUGUAUAAACUCUCUAAGGCGCUUUAUGGGCUCAAGCAAGCCCCAAGAUCAUGGUAUGAAUGCCUAAGAGAUUUUCUUAUCGCUAAUGGCUUCAAAGUCGGAAAAGCCGAUCCUACUCUCUUUACUAAAACAAUUGCAAAUGAUUUGUUUGUAUGCCAAAUUUAUGUUGAUGAUAUUAUAUUUGGGUCUACUAACAAAUCUACAUUUGAAGAGUUUAGUAGAUAAUGGUACAAAAAUUCGAGAUGUCUAUGAUGGGGGAGUUGAAGUAUUUCUUAGGAUUUCAAGUGAAGCAACUCCAAGAGGGCAUCUUCAUCAGUCAAACGAAGUACAUUCAAGACAUACUCACCAAGUUUGGGAUGAAGGAUGCCAAGCCUAUCAAGACACCCAUGGGAACCAAUGGGCAUCUUGACCUCGACACGAGAGGUAAAUCCAUAGAUCAAAAGGUAUACCGGUCGAUGAUAGGAUCUUUACUCUAUUUAUGUGCAUCUCGACCGGAUAUUAUGCUUUUCAUAUGCAUGUGUGCAAGAUUCCAAGCCGAUCCUAAGGAAGUUCACCUUAGGGUCGUGAAAUGAAUCUUGAGAUAUUUAGUUCAUACUCCUAAGUUUGGCCUUUGGUACCCCAGGGGAUCCACAUUUGAUUUAAUAGGAUAUUUAGAUGCUGAUUGGGCAGGGUGUAAAAUUGAUAGAAAGAGCACAUCAGGGACUUGUUAGUUCUUGGGAAGAUCCCUGGUGUCAUAGGCUUCAAAGAAGCAAAAUUUUGUAUCUCUUUCUACCACCGAAGCCGAGUACAUUACCGCAGGCCAUUGUUGCGCGCAAUUGCUUUGGAUGAGGCAAACCCUUAGGGACUAUGGUUACAAAUUAACCAAAGUUCCGCUCCUAUGUGAUAAUGAGAGUGCAAUCCACAUGGUGGAUAAUCCCGUUGAGCACAACCGCACUAAGCACAUAGCCAUUCGGUAUCACUUUUUGAGGGAUCACCAACAAAAGGGGGAUAUCGAGAUUGUUUAUAUUAACACCAAAGAACAAUUAGCCGAUAUCUUUACCAAUGUUGGGGACUUGUUCUCAAAUGCUAUGAGUUAAGAACAAGGCAACACAAGAAAUGUUAAACGUUAAUGCCCUUCGUCCUUCGAGACAUUAUUUCCCUUAGGAUAUAAUGAUCUUCAGACGAAGGUCAUGAAGGACAUACCUUCAUCAUUGCAAUAUACGAUAAUAAAAGGAGAAUCAUAUAGAAUGUAAGAGACAACAUGAAUAAGUAUGUAAUAUUAUCAGCACAUUUCUAUUUUAUUAUCAUGGACAAAUAGAAAUGAUAUCAAAUUACAAAUGUACCUUCAGCUUGAUGGAAGGUAAAAGUACAAGUGUGACGCACGAUCAAAUACAAGUCAGCGUGAACAGUACGGGAGCACUGUUCAUCUAUUUAUAGGCACGGGACACAGCCCAUGUAAAAUUACACCCAUGCCUUUUACAUUUGCUAAUGACUCUAUAGUGAUCCAUCGAGGUCUAAAUGACCUUUUCCCUUUUAAGUCGGUUCCCUUUUCCGCUGUUAUGCCAAAGCUCCCUUGCGCGUAGCUUCGGCGCUACGUCAACCUUCGUAUUCUUUGUGCUUCUCACACUGUGGUUCUGAUCCGAGUCCGAAGGUACCUGUUCAUGUAUCAUACUCCAGAAAUAAUGUUAAAUCAUGUUUUUGAAGACCUUCGGAAGACGAAGGCCCCCAACAGUAGCCCCUCGCAAUAUUAAUUUGUUAGAAUAACGAAUUCAAAUUGCGAUAUGGACGAAGGCCUUAAGCCAAAAUUCUGAAAAAACACCUUCCCUUUGCUAGAAUAGCAACAGUCGAUGACAGACGGGGCCCUCCAAUUUGGAACGCACUGGGCGUAUAAAUAGGAACUCACCCCGAGCACAUUUGGUACGCUAUCUGCCGCCUGCUUUGCUUGCUCAAUUUUUUAGCUCUUGCCUACCAACGCUUGCUUGGUUUUUUAGACUUUCUAAGCUUCGGCUUUAAGGACACAUUUUCGCCAUUUCCGAAGAGAAGAUGUCUCAAGACAAAAAAGUUGUUGCUGAGACGAAGCUGAGCGAAGAGGAGAAGCUCCAUGAGGAGAAGACUGCUGGAUUUGUUGAAUCAAUAGCAAAGAAAAAUACAGAAAAGAUUACUAAGGAGAUUCUAGAAGGCUUAUCUGAAGAUACUGAUGACAGCGACAGUUAUGAUGCGGAAAGCGGAGGCGAAGACUCCGAAGAUCGGCCCUGGCGACCAAGCAUGCAGUCUUCGGGAAAUCAACCAUCAAACAGAGUCAUCUUGAUAAUAUGAGAGGAAGGUAUUUUCGAUAUUAUUUUUUUGUUCUUAUAUUAACCCAUUCAUUCUUUUCAUAUAGGGUUUAAUACUUAGCAACGCCUUAAGGGCGCAAAAGAAUGUCGAAGACGAGAGUUGCACUAUUGCUCUCAACAACCUUCAAACAGAGGUUAUCAAGCUGAGGAACGAAGCUUUGGAAAAAGAAAAAAUUCUACUUACAUUGGUGGACAAAGUAAAGGGGGAUGAAGCUAACUUCAAGGCUCAAUCUGAAAUCCAAAGGAAUGAGAUUGAAAACCUUCAAAAACAACUGGCCGAAGCCAAAUUGAAAUGCGCUAUUGCCGAAGCUGACCGAGUUGCCAGUGAGUACUAGAAAAAUUAUCUUGAAAAACAGUUGCAGAGCUUCGCUCAUCAAAAGAAAGAUGUUUUGAAAAAUCUGUGGAAUGCGUGAAAAAGAUAAAAACUAGCUUUGCCAACGUUGGCGCAUAUUCAAGCGAAGAUAACUUCAUACGGGGCGACCCCGAAGGCGUAAUCGAGUGGAUCAGCGGUGAGGCCGAAGCCUUUGAAGAGAUUUUGAGUGACCGCGGGGACGUCUGUGCCUUCUCUGGUGCGAGAGGAAUUGCAGCUAUUUUGGAGAAAGCAGGGUGCGAACAUGUUAAAACUUUGGCCCAGGCCGAAGCUGCCUUCUCCACCGAUGAUAUAAAGGACCCCUCGGCCGAAGCAAACUCAAUAGGUGGAAAAAAUUUCACUGAUAUCUGGGAAAACGGUGGCCGAGGGAUGGCCCAUGAAAUUAUAAAGAAAAACGAAAAAGAUAUUCACGACACUCGAGAGUCAAUAAAAGAAGCUGAAAAGGCUGCGGAGCUUGAGAGACGAAUAUGUAUUACUUAAUGGUUUUUAACUUUGUUGUUUAUUUUUGUGACUUUGAACUGAUUUAUGUUUUCUACCUUAGCUGAACUAUCUCCUCCCCCAGCGCCCUUAGAGUCAUUGGCCGACCCAGAGGCAAAGGAAUCAACAGAACUUAUUAACAUGGCCGAAACUAUUGUAGACGAAGUCGUUACCCAACUGCUGACCGAAUUUGCACAUAAAGUUUUGAAGGAAGAAGAGUAGCUAUUGUAAAAACAUUGCUAGAAUAUUAAUGUAACAUUUGCCGGACUAUGCUUGUAAUAUUUGGUGCUCCUAGGUUUUGAAUGUAAUAUAUGAAUGGUUUUGUAAUUCAUUUCUUUGCGAUGCAUGAAACUUUUAUGUACAUACCGUUUUUGAGCCUUCGGCGAAAAAACACCUUCCCUUCUUUUCAUGUUCGUAAAGAAGAGCUUUUAUGCUUCGUAAAAAAUCCUCCAAUCGUCGCAAAAACAUUAAUGCUUCGUCAACAACAGAUUUUUCCUCCACAUCAGAGCUGAUGAAGCUGUAUUUCUUCAAAACUUAUUUUGUGCCUUAGCACAAUUUCACUUUUUUCGAAGCAUUCUUCGAAGGUCAACAUUGUAUCCCCUUCUUGUGCCAUUGAUGCAAUAUGAUGUAUGAUGUUAUGUUAUGUGAAAUGAUGUGAUGAUGUUAUGUUAUGCAAAAUGAUGUUUAUGCCGAAGACACACACUCACACCCCCAUAGUGGAAUACACAAUCUCUUUGCCGCUUAUUUUUCGGCUUCACCGCUUAUUUUUCGGUGUAUCAGCGCUGACUUUUCACUGUAAGUUCUGCAUUCCCUUAGGAACGUCUUUUGAACUUCUUCACCUUCUAUUUCGGCGGUAUUCGCGUUGACUUUUCGCGCUUCGCCUUAUAUUUCGGCGGUAUUUGGCUCUGCAUUCCCUUUGGAAUGACUUUUGAGCAGAAAACUUACACUGCGCUCCCUUAGGAACGACUUUUUGUAGCUUCGGCAAACUUACGCUGCGUUCCUUAGAACGACUUUUUUGUGGCUUCGGUGAUACUUGUAAUGUGAUUUUUAGCCCCGCGUUCCCUUAGGAACGACUUUUGUGCUUCAGUGACUUUUUGAACUUCGUGAGUCUGUGGAGAAGAUAUAUUUCACUAUGGCAAGAACGAAGUUAUUACAAGAAAUCAAGAGAGCUAGGUUUUCAAUAAUUGUUCCUUAUUAAAAAGGAAGUGAUAAUGAAUGUAAAAACUGCUUCAGGGGUAGGAUAUCUCUCAAUAGAUAUGCUUCGAUUCUAGCACAGUACUGUUGGCUGUGCGAGCUUCGGACUCCUCCCUGAAAUCUCGUUGCUGAUGGGUCUGUUGGCUCCCUUCUGGCUGCUGGCCUCGUGAAUAUGCAGGUUGUAGUGGUGGCAGAGGUGGAGGCUGUGGCCAAGAUGCAUGUGGCUGGCUAGCCGAAGCAACAGAAGCUGCAGGAUGGUUACCCACAUACUCUGGUAUGUAGGGUGAGUGAUACGAAGCAGUGUGCAUGACCUGCUUCGGCUGGUUCUGCUGAGCUGCGGCUUCUGCUAAUUCCUUUUGUUUCUGAAUGGUGACAUGGCACAUCCUUGUAGUAUGGCCCUUGUCCUCACCACAGAAUAAGCAAUUUUCCUAGGUUGAUCCCCAAACCUUCCUCCGAAGCCCCUGGCACCUCUGCCUCUUGGAGUUGGCGGCCGAAAAUAGGUUUGUUGCUGCCCCGAAACUUGCGAGGAAUAUUGUGGCUUCUGUUGCUGACUUCCUCUGUCGUCAUUCUGGGUGGAGUGGAUUGAUCUGACAUGCCUUGGGUGGAUUCUUCCUCCGAAGCCCCUGGUCAUCUCAGAGAACCUGUAGGCUUCCUCCCUUCUUUGGCGAAAGUCAUUGUCAGCCCGGAUGUAUUCAUCCAUCUUUUGAAGCAGCUUCUCCAAAGUCUGUGGAGGCUUUCUAGCAAAAUACUGGGCAGUAGGUCCUGGAUGAAGCCCCUUGAUCAUGGCCUCAAUGACAAUUUCAUUGGGCACAGUAGGCACUUGUGCUCUCAGACGCAAGAACCUUCAGACGUAUGCCUGGAGAUACUCCUCAUGAUCUUGCGUGCAUUGAAACAGAGCCUGAGCUGUGACUGGCUUCGUCUGAAAGCCCUGGAAACUUGUCACCAGCAUGUCCUUGAGCUUCUGCCAUGAAGUGAUGGUCCCUGGCCGAAGAGAAGAAUACCACGUUUGAGCCACAUUCUUAACUGCCAUGACGAAGGACUUGGCCAUGACAGCUGCAUUGCCUCCGUAUGAAGAUAUAGUUGCUUCAUAACUCAUCAAAAACUGCUUCGGGUCUGAAUGCCCAUCAUACAUUGGAAGCUGAGGUGGCUUGUAUGAUGGGGGCCACGGGAUAGCCUGCAGUUCUGCUGCCAAGGGAGAAGCAUCAUCAAAAGUAAAGGUAUCAUGAUUAAAAUCAUCAUACCAUCCAUCGUCGUUGAACAAGCCCUCUUGAUGAAGCUCCCUGUGUUGGGGCCUUCGAUCUUGCUCGUCUUGAGCAAGGUGGCGUACUUCUUCAGUGGCUUCGUCAAUCUGCCUUUGAAGGUCAGCUUGUCGGGCCAUCUUCUCCUUCUUCUUUUGCACUUGCUGAUGAAGCAUCUCCAUGUUUCUGAUUUCUUGGUCCAACUCGUCCACCUGGGGUGUUGGACUAGUGGCCUUCCUCUUCUGGCUUCGGGCCUCUCGAAGAGAAAGGGUCUCCUGAUUUGGGUCCAGUGGCUGCAGAGCGGCAGCCCCUAGCGCUGAAACUUUCUUCGGUGGCAUGACGAAGGUCAAUGCUUGCCGAAGGUGGUCGAAAAGAGUUCACCCCACGGUGGGCGCCAAUGUUGGGGACUUGUUCUCAAAUGCUAUGAGUUAGGAACAAGGCAACAUAAGAAAUGUUAAACGUUAAUGCCCUUCGUCCUUCGAGACAUUAUUUCCCUUAGGAUAUAAUGAUCUUCAGACGAAGGUCAUGAAGGACAUACCUUCAUCAUUGCAAUAUACGAUAAUAAAAGGAGAAUCAUAUAGAAUGUAAGAGACAACAUGAAUAAGUAUGUAAUAUUAUCAGCACAUUUCUAUUUUAUUAUCAUGGACAAAUAGAAAUGAUAUCAAAUUACAAAUGUACCUUCAGCUUGAUGGAAGGUAAAAGUACAAGUGUGACACACGAUCAAAUACAAGUCAGCGUGAACAGUACGGGAGCACUGUUCAUCUAUUUAUAGGCACGGGACACAGCCCAUGUAAAAUUACACCCAUGCCCUUUACAUUUGCUAAUGACUCUAUAGUGAUCCAUCGAGGUCUAAAUGGCCUUUUCCCUUUUAAGUCAGUUCCCUUUUCCGCUGUUAUGCCGAAGCUCCCUUGUGCGUAGCUUCAGCGCUACGUCAACCUUCGUAUUCUUUGUGCUUCUCACACUGUGGUUCUGAUCCGAGUCCGAAGGUACCUGUUCAUGUAUCAUACUCCAGAAACAUUGUUAAAUCAUGUUUUUGAGGACCUUCGGAAGACGAAGGCCCCCGACAACCAAGCCACUAGAUGAGAAAACUUUUACCAAUCUUAGGCAUGAGCUAAACAUUCUAGAUUCUAGGAAUUUUGAUUGAUAUUUUGCACACAUAGCUUAUUUCAAUACCUUUGAUCAUAUCUCUUUCAUGUGCUAUGACUAAUGUGGUUUUCAAGUAUAUUUCAUGCUAAGUCAUAGAUUGAAAGGAAAAUGGAGUCUUCGGCGAAGAAAAGGCUUCCACUCCAUCGAAUUAUUCAUCCUUCGCCGACACUCCACAUCGCUCUCCAAUUUGGUAUAAUCUUCACUCCUACAUUAUUUACCAAAGGGGGAGAAAGUUUGAAAAAGGGCUUAUAUUUUCACUCACAAGUAUCCGUUUUUGGCGAUUCAUGCCAAAGGGGGAGAAAGUAUUAGCCCAAAGCAAAAGGACCGCACCACCACCAAUUUCAAAAAUGAAGUCUUUUAAAUUUGUACUAAAAGAAGGUUUUUCAAUUGGUAUCUUAUUUUUGAUAGAAUUUUCAAAUUGGUAUAACCCAUUUCAAAAUUAAUAUCUAAAACUCUCUUGAACAAUAAGAGGAGAAUUUCAUUAAGGGGGAGUUUUGUUUAGUCAAAGGAAAAGCAUUUGAAACAGGGGGAGAAAAUUUCAAAUCUUAAAAAUGCUUCUCAAAAUCUUACUCAUUUACCUUUGACUACUUGCAAAAAGACUUUGAAAAGAAUUUCCAAAAGAGUUUGCAAAAACAAAACAAGUGCUGCAAGCGUGGUCCAAAAUGUUAAAAUAGAAGAAAGCAUCCAUGCAUAUCUUAUAAAAUGUAUAUUGGUUUAAUUCCAAGUAACCUUUGCACUUUCAUUAUGCAAACUAGUUCAAUUCUGCAAUUAUAUAUUUGCUUUGGUUUGUGUUGGCAUCAAUCAUCAAAAAGGGGGAGAUUGAAAGGGAAAUAGGCUUACACCUUUUCCUAAAUGGUUUUGGUGGUUGAAUUGCCCAACGCAAAUAAUUGGACUAACUAGUUUGCUCUAGAUUAUAAGUUCUACAUGUGCCAGAGGUUCAACACAAACCAAUAAAAAGUCCAAGAAAGGGUUCAAAUAAAAAGAGCAAAAGACAACCGAAUGCUGCCCUGGUCUGGCGCACCGGACAGUGUCCGGUGCACCAGGGAGAUUCACUCCAAACUUGCCACCUUUGGGAAUUUGGGAAGCCACUCCGCUAUAAUUCACCGGACUGUCCGGUGUAGCACCGGACUGUCCAGUGUGCCAAGCGGAGCAACGGUCGUUAGCGCAACGGUCGAGUUGAACGGUCGGCUCACAACGCUACAGUGCGCGUACUGCGCGCGCAGAAGUUAGAGCAGGUGCAGAUGGCGCAUCGGACAGUGAACAGGACCUGUCCGGUGCACCACCGGACUAUCCGGUGGCCCACAUGUCAGAAGCUCCAACGGUCGAACCCUAACGGUUGGGUGACGUGGCUGGCGCACCGGACAGUGGCCGGUGGCGCACCGGACUGUCCGGUGCGCCCAUCGACAGUAGAGUUCCCCAACGGCCACUUUGGUGGUUGGGGCUAUAAAUACCCCCCAACCACCACACUUCAAUGCAUCCAAGUUUUCAGCCAUCAAACCUCAUACAAGAGCUCUAUACUUCAUUCCAAGACACAAACAAAGAGAUCAAAUCCUCUCCCAAGUCCGGAAUCACUUCAAACAAAUUAGUGACUAGAGAGAGAGACUUUUGUGUUCUUUUGAGCUCUUGCGCUUGGAUCGCUUUUCUUCUUCCUCCUUUCUUGUUCUCAACUCAAUUGUAAUCAAAGCAAGAGACACCAAGUUGUGGUGGUCCUUGUAGUGGACUAAGUGUCCUGUUUGAUUGAAGAGAAAAGCUCACUCAGUCUAGGUGACCGUUUGAGAGAGGGAAAGGGUUGAAAGAGACCCGGUCUUUGUGACCACCUCAACGGGGAGUAGGUUUGCAAGAACCGAACCUCGGUAAAACAAAUCAUCGUGUUCAUUCGUUUUAUUUCUUUGUUGAUUUGUUUUCCCUCUCUUUCGGACUCGAUUAUAUUUUUAACGCUAACCCCGACUUGUUGUUGUGCUUAAACUUUAUAAAUUUCAGAUUUGCCUAUUCACCCCCCCUUUAGGUGACUUUUAGUCUCAACACCUCCUCUCUCGUACGAUGCGCUUUACCAUGGAAGAUCCACCGAGUAUAGUCUGGCGUAAAUCUGAUCUUCCAAAUAUGUUCUACCAUGGCCUUCUUUGAUUUUCUUUUCCGGUUGGCACAUUUGCUGCACGGGCAUGGGACUAGACUCGCUCCUUUAGCAGCUUUGCCAUAUGCCCGUUCCACAAAAGCAUCGGUCUUUCUAAUCCAUUCAGGGGUGACAUCAUUCCUACUUACACGGCAUGUGUACAUCCACUCACGGUCUUCCAUCCUCUAACAUAUGUAACCGAGUAUAGUUUAAUAUAAACAUGUAAUGCAUGUACGCUAUGUUCCUACCUUAUAAUAGGUGAGUAUAGUUCUUAAUCUCACUCGCGGUUGCGUAGACGAAGUUAGUUUCCAUGCUCUACUUCGAUCCAAGACAGAGUUCCGGCAGCACCUCCCCGUUGUUCUCCGGAUACACGCCCUAGCAGGUAGAAUGUACUGUCCGGAGAUCAACAUGGAGGUGAAACCGAAACUCUGUCUCGGACCGGAGUAGAGCAUGGAAACUAAUACCAGGGCGACGGUGGAGUAGGGAUAGCGGGGCUGUGGCGGGUCGGUGCAGUGGCGACGUGUCGCAGUGCAGGUUCUAGUGUGGCGGCAAGGAAUACCUCUGCAAAAAAAAAUUAACACAAGUUUAUCAACAAAAAAAUCGGCAGGACUUCCCCUGCACGAGGAGGUUGCAAAAAACCAGCAAAUAAAACUAACAGCACGAUGGCUGACAUCCACACAUAUACUAGCAAAAAAUAGACUUGCGUGUGUUAUUUACAAUUGUGUUAGUUACACACAAUCUAUUGAUGCCAUAUUUGUUGUGUACUAGCGAUUGGCAAGAAGAAUCAACUUUUAGGCACUAAAACAUCUAGUGGGUUCAAAUUAAAGAACUUCUUCUAUUAAUUACAGAACCACCCCAUCGGCCGACCAGGAUCCAAAUUAAAGAACUUCUUCUUCUAUUAAUUAUAGUAUAUUAUAAUUACCAAGUCUCUUCUUAUAUUUACAUGUUCAUUUGCUUGCUUCUUGCAUAACAUAACGGCGAUCGAUGAUGACCAUCGUUAGUUUUAGUCCUACGUGUAUUUGAUUCAAUCCCUCCAUGUUCAUAGUAUAAAUUCAACCAAACCUAAAUAAGUUUCAGUCAGCUUGAUCUUAAAAUUGCAUCAUACACACACAUACAUAGUCUUACUAGAAGUAAGCAAUUUCUUUUAAACUAAUUUCCAGCCAACAUUGAUGAAUGAACUAGAAUGUGGCUAUAACCGAGACCUGUGUGGGUGGUGCUGGAGAUGGGGACGUUGGGCCGAGGCUCACCGGCGUCGAGGCCUGUCCGAAGAUGGCCGACCGCCAGGCCGGGGACGGGGCUCGUUGGAGAUGGCCGGGUCGAGCGACGGUGGGGACGUCGGAGGCAGGGAGGAUGGCCGGCACGGUGUCCGGAGCCGGAGGGGAUGACCGGAGAGGAGGAUGGUCGGCGCUUGCUCCGAUGGCGUUGGCGGCGAGUGGCGUUGGCGGAGGGGACGACUGGUUAGGGCUAUGUACACAGACUUUGCCGAGUGCCAUAUCACGGGCACUCGGCAAAGAUUUUUUUUAAAUUUAAAAAUAAACUUUGCCGAGUGUCACAGAUCACUGACAGGCACUUGGCAAAGAUUGUUUUAAUUUUUUUAAAAAAACUUUACAGAGUGUCCCACGGCAGGCACUCGACAAAGAAUGCUUUACUGACUGCCUUAUUUUGACACUCGACAAAGAAUUCUUUGCCAAGUGCCCGAUAAAAAGCACUUGGCAAAGCACCGAGCACUCGGCAAAGAGCCGGAUUCCGGUGUGGUUGUUUCAUGGAAGUUGUAAGUAGACCAUCUUAACAAGGUCAACAAUAGAAGUACAACUCACAACAUUAGAUACUGCCAAAGUUAAUGUUGAGAGGCUUCGUGAACUCCUUAUGGAUUUACUAGUAGUUGAAAAACCAAUACUGGUUAUCUAUAUGAGCUAUAAUAAUUAAACAUUGGUAAUCAAAGUGAACAAUUCUUAGGUUAACAUGAAGACUACAAAGCAUGUCAAGAACGGUUGAAACUGUUAAAACACUAAGAAACUCUAGAUUAAUUGUGUUGGACUAUGUCCAUACUUCUAAGAAUUUGGUAUGCCAGUUUAUAGAAGAUUUGUCACAUAAUGUGAUAGAUGGUGCAUCGAGAAAGAUGGACUUGAGACCCACUUAAUGCCAUUCCAUAGUAGUAGCAUUUUCUAUGUGAUUGGAGAUCUCAUGAAGUAAAAUGGUGAAAUAAGCUAGAGAAUGACUGAUGGAGAGACUCCUUAAAUAAAAUCUAGGUAAUUUCAUAUGAACAUUUCUCCUUCGAUGUACGAUAGGCUAACUAAAAUCUUAAUAUGAUUUGAGUGACAUAUCUAAGCAGGGAUGUUAUCUUAUAGAACAUCCUAUAAGGAACACACCUAUAUGACUUUGACUACUAAUCACAGUCUAUGAUAUGUGGGAAAUAUUUUUUUACUCAUGAAAGGCCUCGAAGUUUGACUUAUAUGCUUCAAACCAAUGGAUAACUGAUUGAAUCUGUUUCAGACAGCAGCAUAGUUAACUUCAAAAUUCUAUAUCUCCCAAACUUCUCAACCAAAAAUUAUUAAAUUAUGCUGACAGUAAGAACUUUUAUCCCUCUACAAAAGUCUCCAUAGUUGGAAGAGCCAAUUCGGCCAUUUACUAGAUGAAACCUACCAGUUAACAGACCCGCUCAUUUUUGUCAGGCAAACAAGAACCCUUAUAUAUCAAAGAGUAGUGGAUUUGAAUUUGUCUAAUAUGAAGUUUAUGGGCUUGGAUCAUUUAAAGUAUUUUAUAAUUCUGAAAGACAAGAUUAAACUAACUAUGUAUGAUCCUUUAGCACCGUACAGAUGGUCGAUGGGACAGUUACAUGGUUUAUAUAGAUGGACCUAUCUAUAUUCCUUCAGUGGUUGAGAACAAGGUAAAGGUGUGUCACACUCACGCGUGCGCCGCCUCCGCCGAGACGAGGCAUGGCGUUGCAGGGUGAGGCAUGGCAUGGUGCAGCACGAUCGCAGUCAUGGUCGUGGCACAGUGUAGCACUGUUGUGGAUAGAUAGAUAAACUAUUGUUGUAGUUAGAGUGCAUGAGUUUUUGAAUGCAACACUAGAAUUUUCACAAUUUAACUUAAUUAAGAAGUUAUAUCUUGAUGACACAGAGUUACCUGACCAUUGAUCUCACAUGCCCUUUUAGCUCUCUCGUACUCUAGACUUACCCUGACUAUUUAGGUCUCCUGACUCGCCAAUAUAAACACCAUCCUAUCAUUUGCUGUCGAAUACUUCUGUGUCACAACUCAACUGUCAGAUGAGUACUCCAUUACAGCACUGAGCAGGCCUCCGAAAUGAAUAUCUACUCAGAUGAAGGACGACAAUCGUGUUCUAGGGAAAUAUCAGCGACACAACUCCUUACUUCCUCCGCUUCUUCCUAGUGUUUUUUGUUGUGAUUGAGUCGACAUAGCAACAACACUGCACUAUUACAACCAGUACGACUAUAUCAACUAGCAAUGUCUUCCUUAUAUGUUACUAUUUAUUUUGCUCAUAUUCAUUAUGUUUAAAUCACAUAGGCGCCUUUAUGUUGGCAUCAAAAAAUCAGUAUCAACUUUAUAGAUUAAAAUGAAACUAAAAGUACCUAAAUUUCUAUCGGUGGGGAUCGAGUGAUUCUUUAAACCGAUUAUUACACAAGUUAACCACACUAAAAUUAACAAUGGUGAAUCGUGCCAUGAUUUUUUUCUAGUGGAAAAUAGCCAAACCAAGCAACACAUAUGUGGCUAUCGUUACACAUGUGUAAAGGUAUUGCAUCACACCAUUGUCACCCAUGUAUGUGGACAAUACCGAGAGGAAAAACCACUUAUUUAUUGUAUUUUAUCAAGUUUGUCUUGCUUACGUAUAAAUUAUAACCCAACAAAGUAAUCACUAAAUGUCAAAACCAACUAGAUACCAUGUCAUCUCUACCUUAUCUUACUAAUAUUCUUUUUGCAAAAUCCAAAAUUAAUCUUGCACAAGCACAAGGACUGAGAUGUGUAUAAAUAUCUCUUAAAUUAGUAGCUAAUAUAUCGCACAUAUUAUUGAGACCAACUAGCAACAUAGAAAGCACAAUAGUGUACCAACAAUGGCAGCCAAAAUAUUUUGCCUCCUUAUGCUCCUUGGUCUUUCUGCAAGUGCUGCUACGGCGACCAUUUUCCCGCAAUGCUCGCAAGCUCCUAUAGCUUCCCUUCUUCCCCCGUACCUCUCACCAGCGGUGUCUUCGGUAUGUGAAAACCCAAUUCUUCAACCCUACAGGAUCCAACAGGCAAUCGCAGCUGGCAUCUUACCUUUAUCACCCUUGUUCCUCCAACAAUCAUCAGCCCUAUUACAACAGUUACCUUUGGUGCAUUUAUUGGCACAAAACAUCAGGGCACAACAACUACAACAACUUGUGCUAGCAAACCUUGCUGCCUACUCUCAGCAACAGCAGUUUCUUCCAUUCAACCAACUAGGUUCAUUGAACUCUGCUUCUUAUUUGCAACAACAACAACUACCAUUCAGCCAGCUACCUGCUGCCUACCCCCAGCAAUUUCUUCCAUUCAACCAACUAGCAGCAUUGAACUCUCCUGCUUAUUUACAGCAGCAACAACUACUACCAUUCAGCCAGCUAGCUGGUGUGAGCCCUGCUACCUUCUUGACACAACCACAGUUGUUGCCGUUCUACCAGCACGUUGCGCCUAACGCUGGCACCCUCUUACAACUGCAACAAUUGCUGCCAUUCAACCAACUUGCUUUGACAAACCCAGCAGUGUUCUACCAACAACCCAUCAUUGGUGGUGCCCUCUUUUAGAUUUCUUAUGAGUUAUAGUUCAAUAAUAAAGUUUUUUAUCUGAUGUUUGUGGCUUCCCAGAAAUAAGAAAGUACAUUUCUAGAUUCUUAUGUGCUUCUAGUCUUCAAAUGUGGUUGAUAGUUAUUGUUGGGGACUUGUUCUCAAAUGCUAAGAGUUAAGAACAAGGCAACAUAAAAAUGUUAAAUGCUAAAGUCCUUCGUCCUUCGAAGCAUUAUUUCCCUUAGGAUAUAAUGAAUUUCGGACGAAGGCUAUGAAGGACAUACCUUCAUAAGCACAACGAAUGAUGAAGAAGAAUUCAUAUAAAUUAUGAGAUAUAACAUAAACAUUUAAACAUUAUUAUUAACUCAUUUCUAUUGACUUGUCAGGGAAAAAUAGAAAUGAUAAUAAAUUACAAAUAUACCUUCGGCUUGAGAGAAGGUAAAGGUACAAGCGUGAGGCAAAAGCAAAUGCCAAGUCAGCGUGAACAGUACGGGAACACUGUUCAUCUAUUUAUAGGCACGGGACGCAGCCCAUGCAAAAUUACAUCCAGGCCCUUUGCUUUUGACAAUAACUCUAUAGUAAUCUAUCUGGGUCUAGAUAGUCUUUUCCUCUUUAAGUCGGUUUCCUCUUUUCUGCCAUCAUACCGAAGCUCCCUUGCGCACAGCUUCGGCUCUGCUCCAUCCUUCGUAUUGUUUCCGUGCUUCUUCAUACCGUGGGCUCUUGUUCGAAGAUCCCUAUCCACACAUUAUACUCCAGAGGCAUUGUUAAAUCAUGUUUUUGAGGACCUUCGGAAGUCGAAGGCCCCCAACAGUAGCCCCUCGCAAUAUUAAUUUAUUAGAAUGAUAAAUUUAGAUCGCGACAUGGACGAAGGCCUUAAGCCGAAGGUCCGAAAAAACACCUUCCCUUUGCUAGAAUAGCAACAAUCAAUGACAAGCGGGGCCCUUUCCCUUGCAACACACUAGGCGUAUAAAUAAGAGCAUACCGCGAGCGGAUUUGGCACGCUUUUUGCCAUCUGCUCUUGCUCACCCAACUUUUAGCCCUUGCACACCAACACCUGCUUGGCCUUUUUUUAAAAAAAUUUAAGCUUCGGUUUCGAGAGCACUUUCUCAGCAUUUUCGAAGAUGUCUGAAGAUAAGAAAGUUGUCGCUGAGUCGAAGCUGAGACUUUCUGAGGAGAUGAAUCUCGGCUUUCUUGAAUCAAUAGCGAAGACAAAUACAGAGAAGAUUACUAGGGAGAUUUUAGAAGGUUUAUCUGAAGACACUGGUGACAGUGACAGUUAUGAUGUGGAAAGUGGUGGUGAAGAUUCCGAAGAUCGACCCUGGUGACCAAGCCAUGCAGUUUUUGGAAAAUCAAGCAUUAAACUAAGCCAUCUUGUUAAUAUGAGGGGCAGAUAUUUUCGGGAUUUAUCUAUUGUGAGGGCUGAUGAAGGAGAAAAAACUUGUCCUACUCCUGAGGAAAAUGAAGUCGUGAUAUUCCGAAGCUUCUUCAAGGCUGGGCUUCGGUUUCCUUUAAGCGGUUUCGUGGUUGAAGUUUUGAAGAUUUUUGAAAUCUACCUCCAUCAAAUUACUCCUGAAGCAAUCAUAAGGAUGGGAAUCUUCGUAUGGGCUGUGAAGAGCCAAGGUUUGGAGCCGAAUGCAAAAAGUUUCUGCAAUAUGCAUGAGCUAUUAUACGAGACGAAACCUUGGGGUAAAGAGAAAUAUCAUAACAAUUUUGGCUGCUACAGCUUCGGCGCCCGCUCUGGGUCAAGCUGUCCCGUGCCAACUUUUUGGAAGAGAUGGCCCGGGGACUCGAUGAAGGAAUGGUGUUAUGUAAAAAACGACUUGAAAACGCGAGAAGGUAUUAAAGAUAUCAUCAUGCGCCCCAUCUGGCAGCGUUUCGGCCUUCGGAAACCGAAGGUGGAUAUUGACGAAGCAACCGAAGAAUGCCAGAGGGCCUUCGGCGUAGUUUGCUCUUUCAUCGGGACAAGGGAUUUGAUCCAGGAACAUAUUUCCUUCAGAGUAUGGCCACUUGUAGAAAAGUGGGAAAUGCCGAAGGAAACCAUCAGCAAACCUGAUGAAGUGGACUAGUUAGGUUAAAAUAUACCUUCAGAUAUGGAGAUAAGUUUGUGGAGCCAGAUGAUGACUGGCUGAAAUGUAUUGAGGCCACAAGCGAUGAACUGCUUGGGCCAUAUUCGAAGACAGAAGAUACUGCACUGUCCGCGGCCUUCGGAGGUCGGAAGAAGAGACUCAACCGAGUGUUUGAUGCCAUUGGGUUCGUCUAUCCUGACUACCGUUACCCAACACAGGGUCAGAAAGGGAAAGAUACGACUUCUGUGAAGAAAGUUGCUUCAGCCGCUCCUAGUGAGCCGGCGCCGAAGAGGAAAAAGAUGAAGGUUCUUACGCACCGGCCACGCUAUAUUGAACCGGCCACAGUGCCUGAGUUUGUCGGUGAGACCUCUUCGGCCACCGAAGCCAAGGAGCCGACUCUCCUGCCGAAUAUUGAAGAGCCGGCCAAAAUGCCGGCAAUGGAAAAAAUAGAAGAACCGAGGGCUGAAGAGACAAAGACAUCGGAAAAGAAUGGUUAACGUGCUAAUGCCGAAUAUUGAAGUCCUUCAGCAAGAAUCGAGGUGCUAAUGCCAAUGCCGAUGGCACAAAAAGACCUUACGACAACCCCCAAGAGGAAAAGAAUGGUUAACGUGCUAGAUGUACUGGAAACGAUAAAAUCUUCAAGCUCUACUCCGAAGAUAGCUACUGAAGUUCCAAAGACACAAACUGAGGCCAAAGCUGCCAAAAGUCAAGCGGAAACUGAAACUGGGCUUUCAGAGCCUACCAAGAGGGAAUUCUUGGAAAUUGAAAAAGAAACGGAAAAAGAAUCUGCAGAAGAAACUUUUUCUGAGAAAAUCGUCACACAUAUUCCCGAAGCAUCUUCUGAAGCUUCUGACUAUGUAUUACGUCAUGCUUCGGGUAAAAAUCUGAGCGAAAAAGAAAAAAGAGAAGCUCAAUUCUAUGCGCAAAAAUUGAAAUAUCCAAAAGGGGCGCUGAUAUUCAACGGCAGCGGAGAAGAAGACUUCUUGUAUUGUCUCCCUCAUAGCAAGGAGAUUUCUGUCUGUCGGGAGAUGAGCAAAAGCUUCGGAUUCCCAACAUUAGAAGACGGGCUCUUGGUGUUGUCAAAGGACGAGCUAGCCGACAGCUUAGCGUAUAAUAGUUUAAAGGUGAAGAAAAUGAGAUCUUUGUAUUAUUUCUUGAAACCAAAAUUUUUCAUUUGCUUAAACUUAUUAACGCAUUUUUUUACAGGGUCUUAUACUUAGCAAUGCCCUCAGGGCACAAAAGAAUGACGAAGACGAAGGGUGCGCCAUAGCCCUGAGCAACCUUCGUUCCGAAGUAAUUGAUCUAAGGAACGAAGGUCUCGAAAAAGAUAAAAUAUUACAUUCGUUGGUGAAUAAAAUAAAAGAAGAUGAAGCUACUUUCAAAGCUCAAGCUGAGGCUCAGAAGCACGAAAUUGAGAAUCUUCGGAAACAACUAGCCAGAGCUACAGAAGAAUACACAAUUGAAGAAACAAAACGAGAAAUUAGUGAACAAUGGGCAAAUCAUUUAGAAAAAAACGUUGAAGAGCUUCGUGCGUCCAAGAAAAGGUGUUAUGAAAAAUCUAUAGAAUGUGUUAAGAAAAUAAGAACCAGCUUCACCAACGUUGGCGCGUUUUCAAGUGAAGAAAAUUUCAUGAGGGGUGACCCCGAAAGCCCAAUUGGAUGGAUCAGCCACGAAGCUGAAGCUUUUGAAUAGCCGUGGAGACAUAUGUGCCUUCUCGGGUGCCAGGGGGAUUGCCGCUGUUUUGGAGAAGAAAGGUUGCGAUCACGUGAAAUCCCUGGCACAGACCGAAGCCGUUUUAUCCUCUGAAGACAUAAAAGACCCUUCGGCCGAGGCGAGUUUGGUUGGUGGGAAAUUUUUCACCGACAUCUGGGAAAACGGUGGCCGGGAGAUGGCUCAAGAAAUUAUACGGAGAAGCGAGAAUGGUAUACAUGACGCUAGAAAAGUAGCAGAGGCCGCUGAGAAAAGUGUGGAUCUCGAAGGGCGAAUAGGUAUUAACUAGUAAUUUUUGGCUUUUUGUUGUAACCUUUUGAUUUUGAACUUGUUUACACUUUGUAACAUGGUCGCACCUUCUCCUCCCUCAGAGCCUGCCGAGCCAUCGACAGACCCCCACGUAAAGGGGGAUGACGAGAUUAGAAGAAUGGCUGAAGCUAUCAUGGACAAAGUUGUUGAUCAAUUACUAAACGAAGCUGCAGAAAUAGUUCUAAGGGAAGAUUAGAUGUUAUUGUAAAAACAUUUGGAAUGUAAUAUUUGUUGAACAAUAUGUGUAAUAUUUUGUAACUUUGAAUGUAAUAUAUAAUCUAUUUGUGGUUCAAUUCUUUACGAUGCAUGAAACUUUACAUACAUACCGUUUUUGAGCCUUCGGCGAAAAAACACCUUCCCUUCUUUUCAUGCUUCGUAAAUAAUAUCCGUAUAUCAUAAAAACAUCCAAUUUUCGUAAAAUCAGUAACCAAUAGAUCUUUUUAUUUCAUAAAAACAUCCAAUCUUCGUAAAAUCAGUAACCAAUCUUCGUAAAGGCAUGCUUCUUCAAUAAUUAUUUUUGUGCCUUGGCACUGUUUCUUCGAAACAAUCUCCGAAUAUCAACAUUGAAACCCCCUUCUUGCGUCAUUGAUGCAAUAUGAUGUAUGAUGUUAUGCUAUGCAAAUGAUGUGAUGAUGUGAUGUUAUGCAAAAUGAUAUUUGCCGAAGAUCAACGUUUAUUUUUCACUGCAAGCCUCCCUUAGGAGCUUCUUCGCCUUUUACUUCAGCGGAAUCAGCAUUUAUUUUUCGCUGUAAGCCUCCCUUAGGAGCUUCUUCGCCUUUUACUUUCAGCGGAAUCAGCGUUUAUUUUUUGCUGUAAGCCUCCCUUAGGAGCUUCUUCGCCUUUUACUUUCAGCGGAAUCAGCGUUUAUUUUUCGCUGUAAGCUCUGCAUUCCCUUCGGAACGACUUUUGAGCAGAAAACUUACGCUGCGCUCCCUUAGGAACGACUUUUUGUUAUUUCGGAGAUUCUCCUUGUAACCAUAAAUUCUUAUGCUUCGGCAACUCUGUUAUUUUGUGGAGAAGGUAUAUUUUUACUGUGGCGAAAACGAAGCUAUUACAAGAAAUUGAAAACGACAAAAAGCACUUAGGCUUUCAAUAAUUGUUCCUUAUUAAAAAGAAAAUGAUACUGAAUGUAAAAACUACUGCCGAGGUAGGAUAUUUGUUAGUAAAUAUGCUUCGAUUCUGGCACAGUACUAUUGACUGUGCGAGCUUCGGACUCUUCUCUAAAGUCCCGUUGAAGGUGGAUAUGCUGACUCCCUUCUGGCUGCUGGCUUUGUUGCAUUGGUGGUGGAGGUGGAGGCUGCUGCCAAGAUGCCUGAGGUUGGCUUGCCGAAGCAACAGAAGCUGCAGGGUGGUUGCCUACAUACUCUGGAAUGUAAGGCGAAUGGUAUGAAGCAGUGUGCAUAACUUGCUUCGGCUGGCUCUGUUGGGCUGCAGCUUCUGCUAUCUCCUUUUGUUUCUGGAUGGUAACAUGGCACAUCCUGGUGGUAUGGCCCUUGUCCUCUCCACAGAAUAGGCAAUAGAUCUUCCUGGGCUGAUCCCCAAAUCUUCCUCCGAAGCCCCUGGCACCUCUACCCCUUGGAGCUGGAGGCCGAGGAUAGCUCUGCUGCUGCCCCGAAGCCUGGGAGGAAUAUUGCGGCCUCUGCUGCUGGCUUCCCCUGUCAUCAUUCUGAGUGUUAUGAAUCGAUCUGACAUGUCUAGGGUGAACUCUCCCUCCGAAGCCACUGGCUAUUUUGGAGAACCUGUAAGCUUCCUCCCUUCUCUAUCGGAAGUCGUUGUCAGCGCGGAUGUAUUCGUCCAUCUUCUGAAGCAGUUUCUCCAGAGUCUGAGGGGGCUUCCUGGCAAAGUACUGGGCUGAAGGUCCUGGCCGAAGCCCCUUAAUCAUGGCCUCAAUGACAAUUUCAUUGGGCACUGUUGGUGCUUGUGCCCUCAGGCGUAAGAACCUUCGGACAUACGCCUGAAGAUAUUCUCCGUGGUCUUGGGUGCACUGGAAUAAGUCUUGAGCGGUGACCGGCUUCGUUUGAAACCCUUAGAAACUGGUGAUCAGCAUAUCCUUCAGCUUCUGCCAUGAUGUGAUUGUUCCUGGCCGAAGGGAGGAGUACCAGGUUUGUGCAACAUUCUUGACGGCCAUGACGAAAGACUUCGCCAUGACUGCAAUAUUGCCACCAUAGGAAGAUAUCGUUGCUUCGUAGCUCAUCAGAAACUGCUUCAGAUCUGAGUGUCCGUUGUACAUGGGGAGUUGAGGUGGCUUGUAAGACGGAGGCCAAGGUGUAGCCUGCAGUUCUGGUGAUAGAGGAGAAGCAUCGUCAAAAGCAAAAUUUCCAUGAUGGAAAUCCUCAUACCAGUCAUCCUCGUUGACGAAGCCCUCUUGGUGGAGCUCUCUGUACUGGGGCCUCCGGUUCUAUUCAUCUUGCGUAAGAUGACGAACCUCUUUAGAGGCUUUGUCUAUCUGCCUUUGUAGGUCAGCUAGCCGGGCCAUCUUUUCUUUCUUCUUUUGCACUUGUUGAUGCAGCAUUUCCAUGUUCCUGAUUUCUUGGUCCAAAUCGUCCUCCUGAGGCGUUGGACUGGUGGCCUUCCUCUUCUGGCUUCGGGCUUCCCGAAGAGAGAGAGUCUCCUGGUUCGUGUCCAGCGGCUGCAGAGCCGCAGCCCCUGUUGCUGAAGCUUUCUUUGGCGGCAUGACAAAGGUCGAUGCUUGCCGAAGGUGUUCGAAACUCAAAAAGUGGAAGUGAGUUCACCGGAGGUGGGCACUAAUGUUGGGGACUUGUUCUCAAAUGCUAAGAGUUAAGAACAAGGAAACAUAAAAAUGUUAAAUGCUAAAGUCCUUAGUCCUUCGAAGCAUUAUUUCCCUUAGGAUAUAAUGAAUUUCGGACGAAGGUUAUGAAGGACAUACCUUCAUAAGCACAACGAAUGAUGAAGAAGAAUUCAUAUAAAUUAUGAGAUAUAACAUAAACAUUUAAACAUUAUUAUUAACUCAUUUCUAUUGACUUGUCAGGGAAAAAUAGAAAUGAUAAUAAAUUACAAAUAUACCUUCGGCUUGAGAGAAGGUAAAGGUACAAGCGUGAGGCAAAAGCAAAUGCCAAGUCAGCGUGAAUAGUACGGGAACACUGUUCAUCUAUUUAUAGGCACGGGACGCAGCCCAUGCAAAAUUACAUCCAGGCCCUUUGCUUUUGACAAUAACUCUAUAGUAAUCUAUCUGGGUCUAGAUAGUCUUUUCCUCUUUAAGUCGGUUUCCUCUUUUCUGCCAUCAUGCCGAAGCUCCCUUGCGCACAACUUCUGCUCUGCUCCAUCCUUCGUAUUGUUUCCGUGCUUCUUCAUACCAUGGGCUCUUGUUCGAAGAUCCCUGUCCACACAUUAUACUCCAGAGGCAUUGCUAAAUCAUGUUUUUGAGGACCUUCGGAAGCCGAAGGCCCCCAACAGUUAUUUUGCUCUAAGAUCGGCAGUAAUGAAGUAUAAAUCAUCGUUGUGGUGUGCUACUCGGUUAAUUGAGCAUUAACACACACAAACAUGACGAGGAUGGUAUAAUCUCCAAAAAUGUGUACUUUGUUAGGUGGGACCCUAUAGCCUUGCAGAAUGUGCUAUGUUAGGCAUGCCUGGAAACGUGUGACGCAUACGUUUUGUGAACCUGUUCAUAUUAUAUGUGCUUUUAUAUUAUCGUAUUUUAUUAAAAUACUAAUAUUUAUUACUAGUAAGAUAUAACAUUCUAUCUAGCUUAAAAACUAACCAUAAAUAUUCCAUAAUAACUAGAUUUACCAAACUAAUAUACUAAAUAUACAUAAUAAAUACAAAAUUAACAAGACAAUAAUCAAUAUUUAUGAGCUUAAUAUAUUUAGACAUUAUGGUUGGUCGACGAUAAUCAUGCUAACUUUCCGUAAUUGCUUGAUUGUAAAUAUGCUUAGAAUAAUGCCUCUUUGUUCUACAUGGCAAAUAGGGACCAUUAUGGUGUAACACCCUGGGAUCCACAAACACCCUGAAAUGCUACUAAACUACACAACUAACCUUCAUAUAUUAAAUUUCGACAGCAUCUCCUUUGAAAAUUUGUAUAAACGUGGAAGCAACAGAGUAUAAACAGAUAUGAUGAUAAGGAAACAUAAUAGACAUUAAUAAUCUGCUAGAAAUGGGAAGAUAACCAUAACGACAUAAACUGAAUUAACUAGUGUGCACGGCAUGUUAAAAACAAACAUCGUUGACAAGAAGUUUCUAAUUAAAUCAUGGCUGUGCCUAGGCAGCGUUAUUAUAUGAGUGAAGGUGGACGUGAUGCUACUUCCCUCAUUCCCAACAUGAAUCAAGUACCUGUAUUGAGUAAUGCAAGAGUGAGAUGAAAACAUCUCAGCAAGUAAAUUGUUUUGACGAGAUAUUUAAACCAAAAAAAUUUGAUUUAAUCAACAUUUUAAAGGGAUCACAAUUGAGAUCAGACAUACUUGUAGAUAUAAAACUCAAUAGUCCCAAAAUAACCAAUGCCAUCUCAUUUCCACAAACAACCACAAUAGGUUGUAUAACACUUCCCUGCGUCAUCAAUACCUGCAAAUAUCACUUCAAUGUAUGCAUAGGAAUGCAAUGUUUAAGUCCUCUGCAUUCAUACUUCUUAGAGUAUAAAACCACACCAUCUGCAAAUAUCACUUCAAUGAAUGCAUAUGAAUGCAAUGCAUAUGUCCUCUGCCUUCAUACCUCUAAGGGUAUGAAGACGCAUCGUACCCCUCCUCGGGCAACGUACGAUGCUAAGUUGUACCGGUACGGUCGGACCAUAGGUCACGACAAAACUUCAGAUGCAAGUGAAUCAUGACAUGUAUAUGGCAUGCUGCAUUUAUCAAUAUACUACACUUCCUUCACAUACAAUACAAACCUCAAAUAAUACUUCGUUUACCUUCAGAUACAAUACAAACCUCAAAUAAUACUUCAUUCACCUUCAGGGGUGUUUAUUAAUCUCGUGGGUCAUACUCAAAUCAUCAUCAUCAUCAAUGAUGUUUAAGCAUCAGUAUAAUACAAUCAAGUAAAGCAUCACCAUAGAGUUCAAUUAUGAAAGAAUUCGAUGAUUCUGAAUAUUAGAGUGUAUGCGAUGAAACAACAAAGUCAAAACGGUAGCAACCACCGCUACAUUCACUUGCCUUCAUCGAAGAAGAAAAAGGUACUAGGCAUGAUUCGGAGUGUAGACACCUGCUGUGGGGCUUAAAACUUAGUACAAAUAUUCCACAAACAUUUGCCAACAACUAACAAAUCGCUCCUACACUUGUAACCAAGACCCGGUGGAAUGACUCCCACCCUGAACCACAUGUCAAACAGCAGGAGUGCUGUUUGUUAAUUUUGUAUCUUUAAAAUUAUAACAGUGGUGAUAUCAAACAAAUACUCUAGAAGUUUCUACACAAAAUACUCUACAACUUCGGUAUUCAAUGGAUAAUUAAAUUUUGCCAUCUAUAAGUUCUAAAACAUCUGACAAGAUAACUGACAGAAUCUGUUUCAGACAGCAGCAUAGUUAACUUCAAAAUUCGAUAUCUCCCAAACUCCUCAACCAAAAUUUAUGAAAUUAUGUUGACAGUAAGAACUUUUAUCCCUCUACAAAAGUCUCCAUAGUUGGAAGAGCCAAUUCGGCCAUUUACUAGAUGAAACCUACCAUUUAACAGACCCGCUCAUUUUUGUCAGGCAAACAAGAACCCUUAUAUAUCAAAGAGUAGUGGAUUUGAAUUUGUCUAAUAUGAAGUUUAUGGGCUUGGAUCAUUUAAAGUAUUUUAUAAUUCUGAAAGACAAGAUUAAACUAACUAUGUAUGAUCCUUUAGCACCGUACAGAUGGUCGAUGGGACAGUUACAUGGUUUAUAUAGAUGGACAUAUCUAUAUUCCUUCAGUGGUUGAGAAAAAGGUAAAGGUGUGUCACACUCACGCGUGCACUGCCUCCGCCGAGACGAGGCAUGGCGUUGCAAGGUGAGGCAUGGCAUGGUGCAGCACGAUCGUAUACAUGGUCGUGGCACAGUGUAGCACUGUUGUGGAUAGAUAGAUAAACUUUUGUUGUAGUUAGAGUGCAUGAGUUUUUGAAUGCAACACAAGAAUUUUCACAAUUUAACUUAAUUAAGAAGUUAUAUCUUGAUGACACAGAGUUACCUGACCAUUGAUCUCACAUGCCCUUUUAGCUCUCUCGUUCUCUAGACUCACCCUGACUAUUUAGGUCUCCUGACUCGCCAAUAUAAACACCAUCCUAUCAUUUGCUCUCGAAUACUUCUGUGUCACAACUCAACUGUCAGAUGAGUACUCCAUUACAGCACUGAGCAGGCCUCCGAAAUGAAUAUCUACUCAGAUGAAGGACGACAAUCGUGUUCUAGGGAAAUAUCAGCGACACAACUCCUUACUUCCUCCGCUUCUUCCUAGUGUUUUUUGUUGUGAUUGAGUCGACAUAGCAACAACACUGCACUAUUACAACCAGUACGACUAUAUCAACUAGCAAUGUCUUCCUUAUAUGUUACUAUUUAUUUUGCUCAUAUUCAUUAUGUUUAAAUCACAUAGGCGCCUUUAUGUUGGCAUCAAAAAAUCAGUAUCAACUUUAUAGAUUAAAAUGAAACUAAAAGUACCUAAAUUUCUAUCGGUGGGGAUCGAGUGAUUCUUUAAACCGAUUAUUACACAAGUUAACCACACUAAAAUUAACAAUGGUGAAUCGUGCCAUGAUUUUUUUCUAGUGGAAAAUAGCCAAACCAAGCAACACAUAUGUGGCUAUCGUUACACAUGUGUAAAGGUAUUGCAUCACACCAUUGUCACCCAUGUAUUUGGACAAUACCGAGAGGAAAAACCACUUAUUUAUUGUAUUAUAUCAAGUUUGUCUUGCUUACGUAUAAAUUAUAACCCAACAAAGUAAUCACUAAAUGUCAAAACCAACUAGAUACCAUGUCAUCUCUACCUUAUCUUACUAAUAUUCUUUUUGCAAAAUCCAAAAUUAAUCUUGCACAAGCACAAGGACUGAGAUGUGUAUAAAUAUCUCUUAAAUUAGUAGCUAAUAUAUCGCACAUAUUAUUGAGACCAACUAGCAACAUAGAAAGCACAAUAGUGUACCAACAAUGGCAGCCAAAAUAUUUUGCCUCCUUAUGCUCCUUGGUCUUUCUGCAAGUGCUGCUACGGCGACCAUUUUCCCGCAAUGCUCGCAAGCUCCUAUAGCUUCCCUUCUUCCCCCGUACCUCUCACCAGCGGUGUCUUCGGUAUGUGAAAACCCAAUUCUUCAACCCUACAGGAUCCAACAGGCAAUCACAGCUGGCAUCUUACCUUUAUCACCCUUGUUCCUCCAACAAUCAUCAGCCCUAUUACAUCAGUUACCUUUGGUGCAUUUAUUGGCACAAAACAUCAGGGCACAACAACUACAACAACUUGUGCUAGCAAACCUUGCUGCCUACUCUCAGCAACAGCAGUUUCUUCCAUUCAACCAACUAGCUGCAUUGAACUCUGCUUCUUAUUUGCAACAACAACAACUACCAUUCAGCCAGCUACCUGCUGCCUACCCCCAGCAAUUUCUUCCAUUCAACCAACUGGCAGCAUUGAACUCUCCUGCUUAUUUACAGCAGCAACAACUACUACCAUUCAGCCAGCUAGCUGGUGUGAGCCCUGCUACCUUCUUGAUACAACCACAGUUGUUGCCGUUCUACCAGCACGCUGCGCCUAACGCUGGCACCCUCUUACAACUGCAACAAUUGCUGCCAUUCAACCAACUUGCUUUGACAAACCCAGCAGCGUUCUACCAACAACCCAUCAUUGGUGGUGCCCUCUUUUAGAUUUCUUAUGAGUUAUAGUUCAAUAAUAAAGUUUUUUGUCUGAUGUUUGUGGCUUCCCAGAAAUAAGAAAGUACAUUUCUAGAUUCUUAUGUGCUUCUAGUCUCCAAAUGUGGUUGAUAGUUAUUUUGCUCUAAGAUCGACAGUAAUGAAGUAUAAAUCAUCGUUGUGGUGUGCUACUCGGUUAAUUGAGCAUUAACACACACAAACAUGACGAGGAUGGUAUAAUCUCCAAAAAUAUGUACUUUGUUAGGUGGGACCCUAUAGCCUUGCAUAAUGUGCUAUGUUAGGCAUGCCUGGAAACGUGUGACGCAUAUGUUUUGUGAACCUGUUGAUAUUAUAUGUGCUUUUAUAUUACCAUAUUUUAUUAAAAUACUAAUAUUUAUUACUAGUAAGAUAUAACAUUCUAUCUAGCUUAAAAACUAACCAUAAAUAUUCCAUAAUAACUAGAUUUACCAAACUAAUAUACUAAAUAUACAUAAUAAAUACAAAAUUAACAAGACAAUAAUCAAUAUUUAUGAGCUUAAUAUAUUUAGACAUUAUGGUUGGUCGACCAUAAUCAUGCUAACUUUUCGUACUUGCUUGAUUGUAAAUAUGCUUAGAAUAAUGCCUCUUUGUUCUACAUGGCAAAUAGGGACCAUUAUGGUGUAACACCCUGGGAACCACAAACACCCCGAAAUGCUACUAAACUACACAACUAACCUUCAUAUAUAAAAUUUCGACAGCAUCUCCUUUGAAAAUUUGCAUAAACGUGGAAGCAACAGAGUAUAAACAGAUAUCAUGAUAAGGAAACAUACUAGACAUUAAUAAUCUGCUAGAAAUGGGAAGAUAACCAUAACGACAUAAACUGAAUUAACUAGUGUGCACAACUUGUUUAAAACAAACAUCAUUGACAAGAAGUUUCUAAUUAAAUCAUGGCUGUGCCUGGGUAGCGUUAUUAUGAGAGUGAAGGUGGACGUGAUGCUACUUCCCUCAUUCCCAACAUGAAUCAAGUACCUGCAUUGAGUAAUGCAAGAGUGAGAUGAAAACAUCUCAGCAAGUAAAUUGUUUUGACGAGAUAUUUAAAGCAAAAAAAUUUGAUUUACUCAACAUUUUAAAGGGAUCACAAUUGAGAUCAGAAAUACUUGUAGAUAUAGAACUCAAUAGUCCCAAAAUAACCAGUGCCAUCUCAUUUCCUCAAACAACCACAAUAGGUUGUAUAACACUUCCCUGCGUCAUCAAUACCUGCAAAUAUCACUUCAAUGUAUGCAUAGGAAUGCAAUGUUUAAGUCCUCUGCAUUCAUACUUCUUAGAGUAUAAAACCACACCAUCUGCAAAUAUCACUUCAAUGAAUGCAUAUGAAUGCAAUGCAUAUGUCCUCUGCCUUCAUACCUCUAAGGGUAUGAAGCCGAAUCGUACCCCUCCUCGGGCAACGUACGAUGCUAAGUUGUACCGUUACGGUCGGACCAUAGGUCACGACAAAACUUCAUAUGCAAGUGAAUCAUGACAUGUAUAUGGCUUGCUGCAUUUAUCAAUAUACUUCACUUCCUUCAUAUACAAUACAAACCUCAAAUAAUACUUCGUUUACCUUCAGAUACAAUACAAACCUCAAAUAAUACUUCAUUCACCUUCAGGGGUGUUUAUUAAUCUCGUGGGUCAUACUCGAAUCAUCAUCAUCAUCAAUGAUGAUUAAGCAUCAGUAUAAUACAAUCAAGUAAAGCAUCACCAUAGAGUUCAAUUAUGAAAGAAUUCGAUGAUUCUGAAUAUUAGAGUGUAUGCGAUGAAACAACAACGUCAAAACGGUAGCAACCACCGCUACAUUCACUUGCCUUCAUCGAAGAAGAAAAACAUACUAGGCAUGAUUCAGAGUGUAGACACCUGCUGUGGGGCUUAAAACUUAGUACAAAUAUUCCACAAACAUUUGCCAACAAUUAACAAAUCGCUCCUACACUUGAAACCAAGACCCGGUGGAAUGACUCCCACCCUGAACCACAUGCCAAACAAUAGUAGUGUUGUUUGUUAAUUUUGUAUCUUUAAAAUUAUAACAGUGGUGAUAUCAAACAAAUACUCCAGAAGUUUCUACACAAAAUACUCUACAACUUUGGUAUUCAAUGGAUAAUUAAAUUUUGCCAUCUAUAAGUUCUAAAACAUCUGAUAAGAUAACUGACUGAAUUUGUUUCAGACAACAGCAUAGUUAACUUCAAAAUUCGAUAUCUCCCAAACUCCUCAACCAAAAAUUAUGAAAUUAUUCUGACAGUAAGAACUUUUUUCCCUCUACAAAAGUAUCUAUAGUUGGAAGAGCCAAUUCGGCCAUUUACUAGAUGAAACCUACCAGUUAACAGACCCGCUCAUUUUUGUCAGGCAAACAAGAACCCUUAUAUAUCAAAGAGUAGUGGAUUUGAAUUUGUCUAAUAUGAAGUUUAUGGGCUUGGAUCAUUUAAAGUAUUUUAUAAUUCUGAAAGACAAGAUUAAACUAACUAUGUAUGAUCCUUUAGCACUGUACAGAUGGUCGAUGGGACAGUUACAUGGUUUAUAUAGAUGGACCUAUCUAUAUUCCUUCAGUGGUUGAGAAAAAGGUAAAGGUGUGUCACACUCACGUGUGCGCCGCCUCUACCGAGAUGAGGCAUGGCGUUGCAAGGUGAGGCAUGGCAUGGUGCAGCACGAUCGUAUACAUGGUCGUGGCACAGUGUAGCACUGUUGUGGAUAGAUAGAUAAACUUUUGUUGUAGUUAGAGUGCAUGAGUUUUUGAAUGCAACACAAGAAUUUUCACAAUUUAACUUAAUUAAGAAGUUAUAUCUUGAUGACACAGAGUUACCUGACCAUUGAUCUCACAUGCCCUUUUAGCUCUCUCGUUCUCUAGACUCACCCUGACUAUUUAGGUCUCCUGACUCGCCAAUAUAAACACCAUCCUAUCAUUUGCUCUCGAAUACUUCUGUGUCACAACUCAACUGUCAGAUGAGUACUCCAUUACAGCACUGAGCAGGCCUCCGAAAUGAAUAUCUACUCAGAUGAAGGACGACAAUCGUGUUCUAGGGAAAUAUCGGUGACACAACUCCUUACUUCCUCCGCUUCUUCCUAGUGUUUUUUGUUGUGAUUGAGUCGACACAGCAACAACACUGCACUAUUACAACCAGUACGACUAUAUUAACUAGCAAUGUCUUCCUUAUAUGUUACUAUUUAUUUUGCUCAUAUUCAUUAUGUUUAAAUCACAUAGGCACCUUUUUGUUGGCAUCAAAAAAUUAGUAUCAACUUUCUAGAUUAAAGUGAAACUAAAAGUACCUAAAUUUCUAUCGGUGGGGAUCGAGUGAUUCUUUAAACCAAUUAUUACGCAAGUUAACCACACUAAAAUUAACAUUGGUGAACCGUGCCAUGAUUUUUUCUAAUGGAAAAUAGCCAAACCAAGCAACACAUAUGUGGCUAUCGUUACACAUGUGUAAAGGUAUUGCAUCACACCAUUGUCACCCAUGUAUUUGGACAAUACCGAGAGGAAAAACCACUUAUUUAUUGUAUUUUAUCAAGUUUGUCUUGCUUACGUAUAAAUUAUAACCCAACAAAGUAAUCACUAAAUGUCAAAACCAACUAGAUACCAUGUCAUCUCUACCUUAUCUUACUAAUAUUCUUUUUGCAAAAUCCAAAAUUAAUCUUGCACAAGCACAAGGACUGAGAUGUGUAUAAAUAUCUCUUAAAUUAGUAGCUAAUAUAUCACACAUAUUAUUGAGACCAACUAGCAACAUAGAAAGCACAAUAGUGUACCAACAAUGGCAGCUAAAAUAUUUUGCCUCCUUAUGCUCCUUGGUCUUUCUGCAAGUGCUGCUACGGCGACCAUUUUCCCACAAUGCUCACAAGCUCCUAUAGCUUCCCUUCUUCCCCCGUACCUCUCACCAACGGUGUCUUCGGUAUGUGAAAACCCAAUUCUUCAACCCUACAGGAUCCAACAGGCAAUCGCAGCUGGCAUCUUACCUUUAUCACCCUUGUUCCUCCAACAAUCAUCAGCCCUAUUACAGCAGUUACCUUUGGUGCAUUUAUUGGCACAAAACAUCAGGGCACAACAACUACAACAACUUGUGCUAGCAAACCUUGCUGCCUACUCUCAGCAACAGCAGUUUCUUCCAUUCAACCAACUAGCUGCAUUGAACUCUGCUUCUUAUUUGCAACAACAACAACUACCAUUCAGCCAGCUAUCUGCUGCCUACCCCCAGCAAUUUCUUCCAUUCAACCAACUGACAGCAUUGAACUCUCCUGCUUAUUUACAGCAGCAACAACUACUACCAUUCAGCCAGCUAGCUGGUGUGAGCCCUGCUACCUUCUUGACACAACCACAGUUGUUGCCGUUCUACCAGCACGCUGCGCCUAACGCUGGCACCCUCUUACAACUGCAACAAUUGCUGCCAUUCAACCAACUUGCUUUGACAAACCCAGCAGCAUUCUACCAACAACCCAUCAUUGGUGGUGCCCUCUUUUAGAUUUCUUAUGAGUUAUAGUUCAAUAAUAAAGUUUUUUGUCUGAUGUUUGUGGCUUCCCAGAAAUAAGAAAGUACAUUUCUAGAUUCUUAUGUGCUUCUAGUCUCCAAAUGUGGUUGAUAGUUAUUUUGCUCUAAGAUCAACAGUAAUGAAGUAUAAAUCAUCGUUGUGGUGUGCUACUCGGUUAAUUGAGCAUUAACACACACAAACAUGACGAGGAUGGUAUAAUCUCCAAAAAUGUGUACUUUGUUAGGUGGGACCCUAUAGCCUUGAUUAAUGUGCUAUGUUAGGCAUGCCUGGAAACGUGUGACGCAUAUGUUUUGUGAACCUGUUGAUAUUAUAUGUGCUUUUAUAUUACCAUAUUUUAUUAAAAUACUAAUAUUUAUUACUAGUAAGAUAUAACAUUCUAUCUAGCUUAAAAACUAACCAUAAAUAUUCCAUAAUAACUAGAUUUACCAAACUAAUAUACUAAAUAUACAUAAUAAAUACAAAAUUAACAAGACAAUAAUCAAUAUUUAUGAGCUUAAUAUAUUUAGACAUUAUGGUUGGUCGACGAUAAUCAUGCUAACUUUUCGUAAUUGCUUGAUUGUAAAUAUGCUUAGAAUAAUGCCUCUUUGUUCUACAUGGCAAAUAGGGACCAUUAUGGUGUAACACCCUGGGAACCACAAACACCCCGAAAUGCUACUAAACUACACAACUAACCUUCAUAUAUAAAAUUUCGACAGCAUCUCCUUUGAAAAUUUGCAUAGACGUGGAAGCAACAGAGUAUAAACAGAUAUCAUGAUAAGAAAACAUACUAGACAUUAAUAAUCUGCUAGAAAUGGGAAGAUAACCAUAACGACAUAAACUGAAUUAACUAGUGUGCACAACUUGUUAAAAACAAACAUCGUUGACAAGAAGUUUCUAAUUAAAUCAUGGUUGUGCCUGGGCAGCGUUAUUAUGAGAGUGAAGGUGGACGUGAUGCUACUUCCCUCAUUCCCAACAUGAAUCAAGUACCUGCAUUGAGCAAUGCAAGAGUGAGAUGAAAACAUCUCAGCAAGUAAAUUGUUUUGACGAGAUAUUUAAACCAAAAAAAUUUGAUUUACUCAACAUUUUAAAGGGAUCACAAUUGAGAUCAGAAAUACUUGUAGAUAUAGAACUCAAUAGUCCCAAAAUAACCAGUGCCAUCUCAUUUCCUCAAACAACCACAAUAGGUUGUAUAACACUUCCCUGCGUCAUCAAUACCUGCAAAUAUCACUUCAAUGUAUGCAUAGGAAUGCAAUGUUUAAGUCCUCUGCAUUCAUACUUCUUAGAGUAUAAAACCACACCAUCUGCAAAUAUCACUUCAAUGAAUGCAUAUGAAUGCAAUGCAUAUGUCCUCUGCCUUCAUACCUCUAAGGGUAUGAAGCCGAAUCGUACCCCUCCUCGGGCAACGUACGAUGCUAAGUUGUACCGGUACGGUCGGACCAUAGGUCACGACAAAACUUCAUAUGCAAGUGAAUCAUGACAUGUAUAUGGCUUGCUGCAUUUAUCAAUAUACUUCACUUCCUUCAUAUACAAUACAAACCUCAAAUAAUACUUCGUUUACCUUCAGAUACAAUACAAACCUCAAAUAAUACUUCAUUCACCUUCAGGGGUGUUUAUUAAUCUCGUGGGUCAUACUCGAAUCAUCAUCAUCAUCAAUGAUGAUUAAGCAUCAGUAUAAUACAAUCAAGUAAAGCAUCACCAUAGAGUUCAAUUAUGAAAGAAUUCGAUGAUUCUGAAUAUUAGAGUGUAUGCGAUGAAACAACAACGUCAAAACGGUAGCAACCACCGCUACAUUCAUUUGCCUUCAUCGAAGAAGAAAAAUGUACUAGGCAUGAUUCAGAGUGUAGACACCUGCUGUGGGGCUUAAAACUUAGUACAAAUAUUCCACAAACAUUUGCCAACAAUUAACAAAUCGCUCCUACACUUGAAACCAAGACCCGGUGGAAUGACUCCCACCCUGAACCACAUGCCAAACAAUAGUAGUGCUGUUUGUUAAUUUUGUAUCUUUAAAAUUAUAACAGUGGUGAUAUCAAACAAAUACUCUAGAAGUUUCUACACAAAAUACUCUACAACUUCGGUAUUCAAUGGAUAAUUAAAUUUUGCCAUCUAUAAGUUCUAAAACAUCUGAUAAGAUAACUGACUGAAUUUGUUUCAGACAGCAGCAUAGUUAACUUCAAAAUUCGAUAUCUCCCAAACUCCUCAACCAAAAAUUAUGAAAUUAUGCUGACAGUAAGAACUUUUUGUCCCUCUACAAAAGUAUCUAUAGUUGGAAGAGCCAAUUCGGCCAUUUACUAGAUGAAACCUACCAGUUAACAGACCCGCUCAUUUUUGUCAGGCAAACAAGAACCCUUAUAUAUCAAAGAGUAGUGGAUUUGAAUUUGUCUAAUAUGAAGUUUAUGGGCUUGGAUCAUUUAAAGUAUUUUAUAAUUCUGAAAGACAAGAUUAAACUAACUAUGUAUGAUCCUUUAGCACCGUACAGAUGGUCGAUGGGACAGUUACAUGGUUUAUAUAGAUGGACCUAUCUAUAUUCCUUCAGUGGUUGAGAAAAAGGUAAAGGUGUGUCACACUCACGUGUGCGCCGCCUCUGCCGAGAUGAGGCAUGGCGUUGCAAGGUGAGGCAUGGCAUGGUGCAGCACGAUCGCAGUCAUGGUCGUGGCACAGUGUAGCACUGUUGUGGAUAGAUAGAUAAACUAUUGUUGUAGUUAGAGUGCAUGAGUUUUUGAAUGCAACACUAGGAUUUUCACAAUUUAACUUAAUUAAGAAGUUAUAUCUUGAUGACACAGAGUUACCUGACCAUUGAUCUCACAUGCCCUUUUAGCUCUCUUGUUCUCUAGACUCACCCUGACUAUUGAGGUCUCUUGACUCGCCAAUAUAAACACCAUCCUAUCAUUUGCUCUCGAAUACUUUUGUGUCACAACUCAACUGUCAGAUGAGUACUCCAUUACAGCACUGAGCAGGCCUCCGAAAUGAAUAUCUACUCAGAUGAAGGACGACAAUCGUGUUCUAGGGAAAUAUCAGUGACACAACUCCUUACUUCCUCUGCUUCUUCCUAGUGUUUUUUGUUGUGAUUGAGUCGACACAGCAACAACACUGCACUAUUACAACCAGUACGACUAUAUUAACUAGCAAUGUCUUCCUUAUAUGUUACUAUUUAUUUUGCUCAUAUUCAUUAUGUUUAAAUCACAUAGGCACCUUUUUGUUGGCAUCAAAAAAUUAGUAUCAACUUUCUAGAUUAAAGUGAAACUAAAAGUACCUAAAUUUCUAUCGGUGGGGAUCGAGUGAUUCUUUAAACCGAUUAUUACACAAGUGAACCACACUAAAAUUAACAUUGGUGAAUCGUGCCAUGAUUUUUUCUAGUGGAAAAUAGCCAAACCAAGCAACACAUAUGUGGCUAUCGUUACACAUGUGUAAAGGUAUUGCAUCACACCAUUGUCACCCAUGUAUUUGGACAAUACCGAGAGGAAAAACCACUUAUUUAUUGUAUUUUAUCAAGUUUGUCUUGCUUACGUAUAAAUUAUAACCCAACAAAGUAAUCACUAAAUGUCAAAACCAACUAGAUACCAUGUCAUCUCUACCUUAUCUUACUAAUAUUCUUUUUGCAAAAUCCAAAAUUAAUCUUGCACAAGCACAAGGACUGAGAUGUGUAUAAAUAUCUCUUAAAUUAGUAGCUAAUAUAUCACACAUAUUAUUGAGACCAACUAGCAACAUAGAAAGCACAAUAGUGUACCAACAAUGGCAGCCAAAAUAUUUUGCCUCCUUAUGCUCCUUGGUCUUUCUGCAAGUGCUGCUACGGCGACCAUUUUCCCACAAUGCUCACAAGCUCCUAUAGCUUCCCUUCUUCCCCCGUACCUCUCACCAGCGGUGUCUUCGGUAUGUGAAAACCCAAUUCUUCAACCCUAUAGGAUCCAACAGGCAAUCGCAGCUGGCAUCUUACCUUUAUCACCCUUGUUCCUCCAACAAUCAUCAGCCCUAUUACAGCAGUUACCUUUGGUGCAUUUAUUGGCACAAAACAUCAGGGCACAACAACUACAACAACUUGUGCUAGCAAACCUUGCUGCCUACUCUCAGCAACAACAGUUUCUUCCAUUCAACCAACUAGCUGCAUUGAACUCUGCUUCUUAUUUGCAACAACAACAACUACCAUUCAGCCAGCUAUCUGCUGCCUACCCCCAGCAAUUUCUUCCAUUCAACCAACUGACAGCUUUGAACUCUCCUGCUUAUUUACAGCAGCAACAACUACUACCAUUCAGCCAGCUAGCUGGUGUGAGCCCUGCUACCUUCUUGACACAACCACAAUUGUUGCCGUUCUACCAGCACGCUGCGCCUAACGCUGGCACCCUCUUACAACUGCAACAAUUGCUGCCAUUCAACCAACUUGCUUUGACAAACCCAACAGCAUUCUACCAACAACCCAUCAUUGGUGGUGCCCUCUUUUAGAUUUCUUAUGAGUUAUAGUUCAAUAAUAAAGUUUUUUGUCUGAUGUUUGUGGCUUCCCAGAAAUAAGAAAGUACAUUUCUAGAUUCUUAUGUGCUUCUAGUCUCCAAAUGUGGUUGAUAGUUAUUUUGCUCUAAGAUUAGCAGUAAUGAAGUAUAAAUCAUCGUUGUGGUGUGCUACUCGGUUAAUUGAGCAUUAACACACACAAACAUGACGAGGAUGGUAUAAUCUCCAAAAAUGUGUACUUUGUUAGGUGGGACCCUAUAGCCUUGCAGAAUGUGCUACGUUAGGCAUGCCAAUGGAAACGUGUGACACAUACGUUUUGUGAAUCUGUUGAUAUUAUAUGUGCUUUUAUAUUACCAUAUUUUAUUAAAAUACUAAUAUUUAUUACUAGUAAGAUAUAACAUUCUAUCUAGCUUAAAAACUAACCAUAAAUAUUCCAUAAUAACUAGAUUUACCAAACUAAUAUACUAAAUAUACAUAAUAAAUAUAAAAUUAACAAGACAAUAAUUAAUAUUUAUGAGCUUAAUUUAUUUAGACAUUAUGGUUGGUCGACGAUAAUCAUGCUAACUUUCCGUAAUUGCUUGAUUGUAAAUAUGCUUAGAAUAAUGCCUCUUUGUUCUACAUGGCAAAUAGGGACCAUUAUGGUGUAACACCCCGGGAUCCACAAACACCCCGAAAUGCUACUAAACUACACAACUAACCUUCAUAUAUAAAAUUUCGACAGCAUCUCCUUUGAAAAUUUGCAUAAACGUGGAAGCAACAGAGUAUAAACAGAUAUCAUGAUAAGGAAACAUACUAGACAUUAAUAAUCUGCUAGAAAUGGGAAGAUAACCAUAACGACAUAAACUGAAUUAACUAGUGUGCACAACUUGUUAAAAACAAACAUCGUUGACAAGAAGUUUCUAAUUAAAUCAUGGUUGUGCCUGGGCAGCGUUAUUAUGAGAGUGAAGGUGGACGUGAUGCUACUUCCCUCAUUCCCAACAUGAAUCAAGUACCUGCAUUGAGUAAUGCAAGAGUGAGAUGAAAACAUCUCAGCAAGUAAAUUGUUUUGACGAGAUAUUUAAACCAAAAAAAUUGAUUUAAUCAACAUUUUAAAGGGAUCACAAUUGAGAUCAGAAAUACUUGUAGAUAUAGAACUCAAUAGUCCCAAAAUAACCAAUGCCAUCUCAUUUCCUCAAACAACCACAAUAGGUUGUAUAACACUUCCCUGCGUCAUCAAUACCUGCAAAUAUCACUUCAAUGUAUGCAUAGGAAUGCAAUGUUUAAGUCCUCUGCAUUCAUACUUCUUAGAGUAUAAAACCACACCAUCUGCAAAUAUCACUUCAAUGAAUGCAUAUGAAUGCAAUGCAUAUGUCCUCUGCCUUCAUACCUCUAAGGGUAUGAAGCCGCAUCGUACCCCUCCUCGGGCAACGUACGAUGCUAAGUUGUACCGGUACGGUCGGACCAUAGGUCACGACAAAACUUCAGAUGCAAGUGAAUCAUGACAUGUAUAUGGCAUGCUGCAUUUAUCAAUAUACUUCACUUCCUUCAUAUACAAUACAAACCUAAAAUAAUACUUCGUUUACCUUCAGAUACAAUACAAACCUCAAAUAAUACUUCAUUCACCUUCAGGGGUGUUUAUUAAUCUCGUGGGUCAUACUCAAAUCAUCAUCAUCAUCAAUGAUGUUUAAGCAUCAGUAUAAUACAAUCAAGUAAAGCAUCACCAUAGAGUUCAAUUAUGAAAGAAUUCGAUGAUUCUGAAUAUUAGAGUGUAUGCGAUGAAACAACAAAGUCAAAACGGUAGCAACCACCUCUACAUUCACUUGCCUUCAUCGAAGAAGAAAAAGGUACUAGGCAUGAUUCGGAGUGUAGACACCUGCUGUGGGGCUUAAAACUUAGUACAAAUAUUCCAUAAACAUUUGCCAACAAUUAACAAAUCGCUCCUACACUUGAAACCAAGACCCGGUGGAAUGACUCCCACCCUGAACCACAUGCCAAACAACAAUAGUGUUGUUUGUUAAUUUCUAUCUUUAAAAUUAUAACAGUGGUGAUAUCAAACAAAUACUCUAUACGUUUCUACACAAAAUACUCUACAACUUCGGUAUUCAAUGGAUAAUUAAAUUUUGCCAUCUAUAAGUUCUAAAACAUCUGACAAGAUAACUGACUGAAUCUGUUUCAGACAACAGCAUAGUUAACUUCAAAAUUCGAUAUCUCCCUAACUCCUCAACAAAAAAUUAUGAAAUUAUGCUGACAGUAAGAACUUUUAUCCCUCUACAAAAGUCUCCAUAGUUGAAAGAGCCAAUUCGGCCAUUUACUAGAUGAAACCUACCAGUUAACGGACCCGCUCAUUUUUGUCAAGCAAACAAGAACCCUUAUAUAUCAAAGAGUAGUGGAUUUGAAUUUGUCUAAUAUGAAGUUUACGGGCUUGGCUCAUUUAAAGUAUUUAAUAAUUCUGAAAGACAAGAUUAAACUAACUAUGUAUGAUCCUUUAGCACCGUACAGAUGGUCGAUGGGACAGUUACAUGGUUUAUAUAGAUGGACCUAUCUAUAUUCCUUCAGUGGUUGAGAAAAAAGUAAAGGUGUGUCACACUCACGUGUGCGCCGCCUCCGCCGAGACGAGGCAUGGCGUUGCAAGGUGAGGCAUGGCAUGGUGUAGCACGAUAGCAGUCAUGGUCGUGGCACAGUGUAGCACUGUUGUGGAUAGAUAGGUAAACUAUUGUUGUAGUUAGAGUGCAUGAGUUUUUGAAUGCAACACUAGAAUUUUCACAAUUUAACUUAAUUAAGAAGUUAUAUCUUGAUGACACAGAGUUACCUGACCAUUGAUCUCACAUGCCCUUUUAGCUCUCUCGUUCUCUAGACUCACCCUGACUAUUUAAGUCUCUUGACUCGCCAAUAUAAACACCAUCCUAUCAUUUGCUCUAGAAUACUUCUGUGUCACAACUCAACUGUCAGAUGAGUACUCCAUUACAGCACUUACGUACACGAGUUCUAUGAGAGCAGGCCUCCAAAAUGAAUAUCUACUUAGAUGAAGGACGACAAUCGUGUUCUAGGGAAAUAUCAGCGACACAACUCCUUACUUCCUUCGCUUCUUCCUAGUGUUUUUUGUUGUGAUUGAGUCGACACAGCAACAACACUGCACUAUUACAACCAGUACGACUAUAUCAACUAGCAAUGUCUUCCUUAUAUGUUACUAUUUAUUUUGCACAUAUUCAUUAUGUUUAAAUCACAUAGGCACCUUUCUAUUGGCAUCAAAAAAUUAGUAUCAACUUUCUAGAUUAAAAUGAAACUAAAAGUACAUAAAUUUCUAUCGGUGGGGAUCGAGUGAUUCUUUAAACCGAUUAUUACACAAGUUAACCACACUAAAAUUAACAUUGGUGAAUCGUGCCAUGAUUUUUUUUCUAGUGGAAAAUAGCCAAACCAAGCAACACAUAUGUGGCUAUCGUUACACAUGUGUAAAGGUAUUGCAUCACACUAUUGUCACCCAUGUAUUUGGACAAUACCGAGAGGAAAAACCACUUAUUUAUUGUAUUUUAUCAAGUUUGUCUUGCUUACGUAUAAAAUUAUAACCCAACAAAGUAAUCACUAAACGUCAAAACCAACUAGAUAUCAUGUCAUCUCUACCUUAUCUUACUAAUAUUCUUUUUGCAAAAUCCAAAAUUAAUCUUGCACAAGCACAAGGACUGAGAUGUGUAUAAAUAUCUCUUAAAUUAGUAGCUAAUAUAUCGCACAUAUUAUUUAGACCAACUAGCAACAUAGAAAGCACAAUAGUGUACCAACAAUGGCAGCCAAAAUAUUUUGCCUCCUUAUGCUCCUUGGUAUUUCUGCAAGUGCUGCUACGGCGACCAUUUUCCCGCAAUGCUCACAAGCUCCUAUAGCUUCCCUUCUUCCCCCGUACCUCUCACCAGCGGUGUCUUCGGUAUGUGAAAACCCAAUUCUUCAACCCUACAGGAUCCAACAGGCAAUCGCAGCUGGCAUCUUACCUUUAUCACCCUUGUUCCUCCAACAAUCAUCAGCCCUAUUACAGCAGUUACCUUUGGUGCAUUUAUUGGCACAAAACAUCAGGGCACAACAACUACAACAACUUGUGCUAGCAAACCUUGCUGCCUACUCUCAGCAACAGCAGUUUCUUCCAUUCAACCAACUAGCUGCAUUGAACUCUGCUUCUUAUUUGCAACAACAACAACUACCAUUCAGCCAGCUACCUGUUGCCUACCCCCAGCAAUUUCUUCCAUUCAACCAACUGGCAGCAUUGAACUCUCCUGCUUAUUUACAGCAGCAACAACUACUACCAUUCAGCCAGCUAGCUGGUGUGAGCCCUGCUACCUUCUUGACACAACCACAGUUGUUGCCGUUCUACCAGCACGCUGCGCCUAACGCUGGCACCCUCUUACAACUGCAACAAUUGCUGCCAUUCAACCAACUUGCUUUGACAAACCUAGCAGUGUUCUACCAACAACCCAUCAUUGGUGGUGCCCUCUUUUAGAUUUCUUAUGAGUUAUAGUUCAAUAAUAAAGUUUUUUGUCUGAUGUUUGUGGCUUCCCAGAAAUAAGAAAGUACAUUUCUAGAUUCUUAUGUGCUUCUAGUCUCCAAAUGUGGUUGAUAGUUAUUUUGCUCUAAGAUCAGCAGUACAACAACAACAACAACAACAACAACAACAACAACAAAGCCUUUUUGUCCCAAGCACGUUGGGGUAGGCUAGAGAUGAAACCCCGUAUGAAAACCUCAGAGCUCAACCCCCAAAGAACAGAAAAGGGAAACAAAGGCAAAGGAGAACCGAAAACAACGAAACGGGGAAACACAUAAAAGAGAUAAAACCCACAAGGACCAGCAAGAUCUAAAAUGGACACAAGAAAAGGUCAAACGAUUAAGGAGGAAAAGCGAAACUAUCAAUCAGGGUUCUGGCACGUGAAUUGCACACUUCCACCCCUUCCUAUCUGCGGCGAGCUCUUUGUCAAUAUUCCACUCCUUCAGGUCUCUCUUCACAGCCUCUGUCCACGUCAAAGUUGGUCGACCUCUACCUCUCUUCACAUUUUCGGGACGCCUAAUUAUUCCGAUAUGCACUGGUGCCUCUUCAGGUCUUCGUUGGAUAUGUCCAAACCAUCUCAAGCGAUGUUGCAUAAGCUUCUCCUCAAUUGGCGCCACUCCUACUCUCUCUCGUAUAUCAUCAUUCCGGACUCGAUCUCUCCUUGUGUGGCCACAUAUCCAGCGCAACAUACGCAUCUCUGCCACACUUAGUUGUUGGACAUGUCGUCUUUUAGUGGGCCAACAUUCUGCUCCAUACAACAUAGCCGGCCGGAUUGCUGUCCUGUAGAAUUUGCCUUUUAGUUUGCGUGGCACCCGGUGGUCGCAUAAGACACCCGCAGCUUGUCGCCACUUCAACCAUCCGGCUUUAAUUCUAUGACUGACAUCCUCAUCGAUGUCUCCCUCCUUUUGAAGCAUUGAUCCUAAGUAACGAAAAGUGUCUUUCUUGGGUACCACUUGCCCAUCAAGACUAACAUCGCCAUCCUCAUACCCCAUGGCACUGAAAUCACACUUCAUAUACUCUGUUUUAGACCUACUAAGCCUAAAACCUUUUGCUUCCAGCGUCUGCCUCCACAAUUCCAACUUUUGAGAAACACCACUCCUACUCUCCUCAAUAAGUACCACAUCAUCGGCAAAAAGCAUACACCACGGUAAAACUCCUUGUAUGUCCCUUGUGACCUCAUCUAUCACCAAAGCGAAAAGAUAAGGGCUCAAAGCCGACCCUUGAUGUAGUCCUAUGUUAAUUGGAAAGUCAUCGGUGUCUCCAUCACUUGUUCGGACACUUGUCACAACAUUAGUGUACAUAUCUUUAAUAAGAUUAAUGUACUUUGUUGCUACUUUGUGUUUUUCCAAGGCCCACCACAUUACACUCCUAGGUACUUUGUCAUAAGCCUUCUCCAAGUCUAUGAAGACCAUAUGCAGGUCUUUCUUUUGUUCUCUGAAUCUCUCCAUAAGUUGUCUUAGUAAGAAAAUGGCCUCCAUAGUUGAUCUCCCGGGCAUGAAACCAAACUGAUUUUGGGUCACGCUCGUCAUCUUUCGCAGGCGGUGUUCAAUGACUCUCUCCCAUAGCUUCAUUGUAUGGCUCAUGAGCUUAAUUCCACGGUAAUUAGUACAACUUUGAACAUCUCCUUUGUUCUUGAAGAUUGGUACUAAUGUACUCCGCCGCCACUCGUCGGGCAUUCUGUUUGCCCGAAAGAUGGUGUUGAAAAGCUUAGUCAGCCAUACUAUCGCUAUGUCUCCAAGACAUCUCCAUACCUCGAUAGGGAUACCAUCAGGGCCCAUCGCCUUUCCUACCUUCAUCCUUUUUAGCGCCUCCUUAACUUCAUAUUCUUGUAUCCUUCGUACAAAACCCCUGUUGUUGUCAUCGAAUGGUUCGUCCAAUUCUAUUGUAGCACUCUCAUUCCCUCCAUUGAACAAUUUGUUGAAGUACUCCUUCCAUCUGUUCUUGAUCUCUUCACUCUUCACUAAUAGUUGGUUUGCUUCGUCCUUGAUGCAUUUGACUUGGUUGACAUCCCUUGUCUUCCUUUCACGAAUCUUGGCCAUCCUAUAGAUAUCCUUUUCUCCCUGCUUUGUGUCCAGCCGUUGAUAAAGGUCGUCAUAGGCUUGACCCCGGGCUCUACUAACCGCUCGCUUUGCAGACUUCUUCGCUAUCCUGUACUUCUCUAUGUUUUCUGCACACUUGUCAUGAUGUAAGCGUUUGUAGCAAUCUUUCUUCUCCUUGAUAGCCUUUUGGACAUCUUCGUUCCACCACCAAGUGUCUUUAACUUCCCUUCUGUUCCCUUGACUCAACCCAAACUCUUCUGAAGCUAUCUUUCGGAUGCAUGUCGCCAUCUUCCUCCACAUGAUAUUUGCGUCUUCCUCUCCUGCCCAAGGGCCCUCCUCGAUAACUCUCUUCUUGAAAGUUUGGGCCACAUCCCCUUUAAGCUUCCACCACUUUGUUCUAGUGACCUUGUUAUGCUUAUUUCGUUGUAAACGAAUCUUAAAACGGAAGUCAGCAACGACAAGCUUAUGUUGGGUUACCACACACUCUCCAGGUAUAACCUUGCAAUCUAAGCAGGCAUGCCUGUCCUCUUUUCUCAAGAGGACGAAAUCAAUCUGGCUAGUGUGUUGGCCACUACUGAAGGUCACCAGGUGGGAUUGCCUCUUCUUAAAGAAAGUGUUUGCUAUAAACAUGUCAUAGGCUAGGGCAAAGUUCAGGAUUUCCUCUCCUUCUUGAUUCCUAGUCCCAAAGCCGAAGCCUCCAUGUACACCCUCGAAACUGGUGCUAGAUGUACCCACAUGGCCAUUGAGAUCUCCUCCUAUGAAGAGCUUCUCGCCAACUGGCACACUACUAACCAUGUCCUCUAGGCCUUCCCAGAACUCUCUCUUUGAGUUCUCAUUAAGGCCUACUUGAGGAGCAUACGCGCUGAUAACAUUGAGAACCAAGUCUCCAAUGACCAGCUUGACUAGGAUGAUUCUAUCUCCUACCCUCUUAACAUCUACUACCCCAUCUUUGAGGCUCUUGUCGAUCAAGACGCCUACUCCAUUCUUGUUUGUUGCAGUCCCCGUGUACCACAACUUGAAACCUGUACCUUUCACUUCCUUCGCCUUCUGUCCCUUCCACUUGGUCUCUUGAACGCAUAAAAUAUUUACCCGUCUCCUCACCGCAACGUCAACUAUUUCUCGUAACUUACCUGUUAAGGAACCUACGUUCCAACUGCCUACACGGACCCUAGUUGGCUCGACUAGCUUCCUUACCCUUCGCACCCGCCGAGGAAGAUGCAAAGACCCUUGCUCAUUUUUCACUACACCCGGGCGCCGAUGUAGCGCGCCACUAAGGAUGCGACGACCCGAUCCUUGCUCACUUAUCACCGGCUCCAGAUCAAGAGACAGCGCGUCACUUGAGGGGUGACGACCCGGCCCUUGCUCAUUUAACACCAUACCCGGGUUCCGAUAUGGCGCGUCGCUAAGAGGGUUACGCCCCAACGGUUUUCUUUGUGGUUUCAUCUCCAUAAGAUUUGGCUGGUUUUUUACGUUGGUUUGCCGGACCUAACACAACCCUCCUCCUUUACCGGGCUUGGGACCGGCUAUGUUGAAACGACUCAAGGAAGUCUUCCAAUCAACAUAGGCGGAGUUUAAGAUCAGCAGUAAUGAAGUAUAAAUCAUCGUUGUGGUGUGCUACUCGGUUAAUUGAGCAUUAACACACACAAACAUGACGAGGAUGGUAUAAUCUCCCAAAAUGUGUACUUUGUUAGGUGGGACCCUAUAGCCUUGCAGAAUGUGCUACGUUAGGCAUGCCGAUGGAAACGUGUGACGCAUACGUUUUGUGAACCUGUUGAUAUUAUAUGUGCUUUUAUAUUACCAUAUUUUAUUAAAACACUAAUAUUUAUUACUAGUAAGAUAUAACAUUCUAUCUAGCUUAAAAACUAACCAUAAAUAUUCCAUAAUAACUAGAUUUACCAAACUAAUAUACUAAAUAUACAUAAUAAAUACAAAAUUAACAAGACAAUAAUCAAUAUUUAUGAGCUUAAUAUAUUUAGACAUUAUGGUUGGUCGACGAUAAUCAUGCUAACUUUCCGUAAUUGCUUGAUUGUAAAUAUGCUUAGACUAAUGCCUCUUUGUUCUACAUGGCAAAUAGGGACCACUCUAGGAGACUAGGAUGUUGCUUGAGAUGAAAAUGUCAGAAUUGGUGUAGACUAAUUUCUAUCGGCCGCUGACUUCACUAUUGUAACCAUUAUAUCUUGGGUAAAUUAUAUACGAUUAUCCAGCCAAAGGGCCCAGAUGAUAAAAAACAAUUUUUAAUUGCUAUUUUAGGACAAAUGAAUUAGCAUGGUUCGAAGGAUUACGACCUUCCCCCCAUGACCUUUGUCAUACUGCUUUAGUCUAAUCGACAAAACCAAGAUUAGUUAUCAUCGAAGAAGUUCAUAAGCGAAGUUGUGACGAUGAAAGGAACAUGGUGGUAAUUGGACGAACGACGACACCUUUGUCUAAGAAUGGCAUCUAGAAGAAAUCUCAGACAAAAUAAGACAUGAAUGGCUUGUCAGUACAGCGCAAAUACUGAAACAUGCGCCCUUGAAUAUGAAACAUUUAUAUGUAAGAGGAAGGGAUAAAAAAACUAAUUACUCGUGCCUAAUGAUUUUAUUGGGAAUUUUAAGGCGAGACUUAUGGCAAAGGGUUAUACCAAAAAUAGGGGAGAGAUUAUUUCGAUACUUAUUCACUUGUUUCCCUUCAAAUGGCCAUACAUGUGUUACUUUUUUUGGCUGCCUCGCAUGGUCUUAUCGUUCAUCAGAUGAAUGUUAAGACUGCUUUCCCAAAUGGAGAGCUUAAGGAACAGAUCUACAUUGACUAGCCUAGUGGUUUUAUAUCAAAUGGUAAAGAGGAAAAGGUGUUUAAAAUAAUUGUUUGGUUUAAAACAAGCACCAAAGCACAUGAGAAAAUCGAUAAAGUUCUGACUUUGGCUAAAUUUGUUGUAAAUGAAGUUGAUAAAUGUGUCCAUUACCAGUUUGACAGGGGCGAAGGUAUGACCUUUUUAUAUGUGGACAAAAUAUUAACCUUUUGUAACGAUGUUAAUAUGAUAGAAGAAGUAAAGUAAUUUUUGUCUAGUAACUUAGAAAUAAACAAUCUGGGAGAGGCUAAUGUUGUUCUUAACAAAGAGAUGUUGAGAGAAGGAGGAAAUAGAGGGUUACUCUUGUGCAAUCCUAUUAGGUUGAAAAGUCGCUGAGUCGCUUUGGAUAUAGUGAUUACACGUCUGGUCCAACAACUUAUGACCCAAGUGUGUUAUUAAGGAAAAAUCAUAUAAUUGCAUAUGAUCAAUUGAGAUAUUGUCAAAUCAUGGUCUUCUCAUAUAUUUGGCAAGCCCAACGAUGUCUCAUAUCUGAUUUGUUAUGAGCAAACUCAGUUGCCUUGUCUCCAAUCUAGGGGAGGAUCAUGACAUGCCCUAGAGAGGGUAUUGCGCUUUCUCAAAGGGAUAUGAGUAAUGUCAUUUACUAUACUAGGCACCUAAGAGUACCAGAGUGUUAUAGUCAUGCAAAUAGGAUAUCUGAUGUUGAUUAGAUUUAUGCCACAAGUAGACUUGUGUGCUUCCUUGGAGGUGUGAUUGUUUCAUGGAAGUCUUGUAAGUAGACCAUCUUAACAAGGUCAACAAUAGAAGUAGAACUCACAACAUUAUAUACUACCAAAGUUGAAGUUGAUUGGCUCCGUGAACUCCUUACGGAUUUACCAGUAGUUGAAAAACCAAUACUGGUUAUCUCUAUGAGCUACAAUAAUCAAACAUUUGUAAUCGAAGUAAACAGUUCUAAAGUUAACAUGAUGUCUACAAAGCAUGUAAAAAUGGUUGAAACUGUUAAAACACUAAGAAACUCUAGAUUAAUUAUGUUGGACUAUAUCCAUACAUCGAAUUUGGUAUGCCAGUUUACAGAAGAUUUGUCACAUAAUAUGAUUCAAGGUGCAUCGAGGAAUAUGGGCUUGAGACCCACUUAAUGUCAAUCCAUAGUGGUAGCAGUUUCUAUGUGAUUGGAGAUCCCAUAAAGUAGAAUGGUGAAACAAGCUAGAGAAUGACUGAUGGAGAGACUCCUUAAAUAAAAUCUUGAUAAUUUGAGAUGCACAUUUCUCAUUUGAUGUAUUGUAGGCGAACUAAAAUCUUAAUAUGAUUUGAGUGACUUAUCUAAGCAGGGAUGUUAUCUUACAGAACAUCCUAGAAAGAACACACCUAUAUGAGUUUGCAUGUUAGUCAUAGUCUAUCAUGUGUGGUAAUCUUUAUAUACUCAUGAAAGGCUUGAAGUUUGACUUAUAUGCUUCAAACCAAGGGGGUGCUUGUAACAGUCUAGUACAAGAUAAGAACAUUGGUAAAACUCACUUAACGCAAAAUUGUCAAUUUAAGGCAUAGUUCAUUGUUUAGAUGUGAAUGUGUAAUCCCUGUUCUAGAUGGAUGGUCAACUUAACAGCCUCCACCAAAACCCUGAUAUCUCAAAGAGUAGUGGAUUUGAGUUUGUCUAAUAUGUGGUUUAGAUUUUGGUGGGGAAUUUUAAUAUUUUAUGGGCUUGGCCCAUUUAAGGUAUUUAAUACUUUCAAAAGACAAGAUUAAACAUGUGUGAAUAGUGUCAUGAUUUUUUUCUAGUGCAAAAUAGCCCAACAAAUCAACACAUAUGUGGCUAUCAUUACACAUGUGUAAAGGUAAUGCAUCACACCAUUGUCACCCAUGUAUUUAGAAAAUACCAAGAAGAAAAACAACUUGUUUAUUGUAUUUUAUGGAGAUUAUCUUGCUUACAUAUAAUUAUAACCCAACAAAGUGGUCACUAAAUGUCAAAACCAACUAGGUACCAGGUCAUCUCUAGCUUAUCUUGCUAAUGAUAUUUUUGCAAAAUCCAAAAUUAAUCUUGCACAAGCACAAGGACUGAGAUGUGUAUAAAAAUCUCUUAGAUUAGUAGGUAAUCCAUCACACAAAGCGCAAUAGUGUAGCAAAACUGGCAGUCAAAAUAUUUUGCCUCCUUAUGCUCCUUGCUCUUUCUGCAAGUGCUGCUAACGCGACCAAUUUUCUGCAAUGCUCACAAGAUCCAAUUGCUUCCCUUCUUCCCUCAUACCUCUCACCAGCGACAUCUUCAGUAUGUGAAAACCCAAUUCUUCAACCCUAUAGGAUCCAACAGGCAAUCACAGCAAGCAUCUUACCUUUAUCACCCUUGUUCCUCCAACAACCGCCAGCCCUGUUACAACAAUUACCUUUGGUGCAUUUGUUGGAACAAAGCAUCAAGGCACAACAACUACAACAACCUGUGCUGACAAACCUUGUUGCCUACUCUCAGCAACAAUAGUUUCUUCCAUUCAACCAACUGGCUGCACUGAACUCUGCUGCUUAUUUGCAACAACAACAACAACUUCCAUUCACCCAGCUAGCUGCUGCCUACCCCCAACAAUUUCUUCCAUUCGACUAACUGGCUGCAUUGAACUCUGUUGCUUAUUUACAACAGCAACAACUAAUACCAUGAAACCAGCUAGCUGUUGCGAGCCCUGCUACCUUCUUGACACAACCACAGUUGAUGUCGUUCUACCUGCAAGCUGUGGCUAACGUCGGCACCCUCUUACAACUACAACAAUUGUUGCCAUUCAUCCAACUUGCUUUGACAAACCCAAUAGUGUUCUACCAACAACCCAUCAUUGGUGGCGCCCUCUUUUAUAUUUCUUAUGGGUUAUAGUUCAAUAAUGAAGUUUUUGGCUGAUGUUUGUGGCUUCCCAGAAAUAAGAAAGUAUAUUUCUAGAUUCUUAUGUGCUACUAGUCUCCAAAUGUGGUUGAUAAUUAUGUUGCUCUAAGAACGGGAGUAAUGAGGUAUAAAUCAUUGUUGAGGUGUGAUACUCGGGUAGUUGAGCAUUAGCACGCACAAAUAUGAUGAGGACGGUAUAAUCUCCAAAAAUAUGUACUUUGUUAGGUGGGACCCUAUAGCCAUGCAGAAUGUGCUCUGUUAGACACGUCGAUGGAAACGUGUCACACAUACGUUUUGUGAACCUAUUGAUAUUGUAUGUGCUUUUAGUUGUGUGGUGCUAUAGAUAUGAGGGCUUGUUUCACGUAAUGAGCUAGGGUAGAAAAAUAAUUAUUUGCCUUGGAUUGUUAUGGAAGAACAUACCAAUUGUGACUGCCAUCUCAAUCUAGCUAACAUCUAAGUGACCUAAAAGGAGAGCAUAAGGAACUGAUCUACAAUGACUAGCCUAGUGGUUUUAUAGGAAAUGGCAAAGAGGAAAAUGUGUUUAAGUUAUUACAAUUGUAUGGUUUAAAACAAGCACCUAAGCACAUGAGAAAUUUUAUGAAGUUCUGACUUUGGCUAAAUUUGUUGUAAAUGAAGCUGAUAAAUGUGUCUAUUGCUAGUUUGAGAGGAGGGAUGGCAUGACCUGUUUUUUAUAUUUGGAUGAUAUAUUAAUCUUUUGUAAUGAUGUUAAUAUUAUCGAGGAAGUAAAAUACUCUUUGUGUGGUAACUUUGAAAUAAAUGAUUUUGGAGAGGCUAAUGUUGUUCUUAACAUAAAGAUGUUGGGAGAAGGAGGAAAUAGGGGGUAACUCUUGUGAAUCCUAUUAGGUUGAAAAGACAUUUAGUUGUUUUGGAUAUAGUAACUACACAUCUGGUCAAAUUACUUAUGACACAAGCGUGUUGUUAAGGAAAAUGAUAUAAUCGCAUAGAAUCAAAUGAGAUACUAUCAAAUCAUGGUCUUCUCGUGUAUUUGGCUAAUCCAACGAGGCCUAAUAUCUCAUUGCUAUGAUUAAACUUAGUCGAUUUGUAUACAAUGUAGGGGAUGAUCAUGGCAAGCCCUAGAGAGGGUAUUGCGCUACCUAAAAGGGACUAUGAGUAAUGUAAUUUACUAUACCAGGCACCUAAGGGUACCAGAGUGUUACAAUGAUGCAAACAAGAUAUCUGAUGGUGACGAGAUUUAUGCCACAAGUGGAUAUGUGUGCUUGCUUGGAGGUGUGAUAGUUUCAUGGAAGUCUUGUAAGUAUACCAUCUUAACAAGAUCAACAAAACAAGUAGAACUGGCAACAUAAGAUACUACCAUAGUUGAAGCUAAGUGGCUUCUUGAACUCCUUAUGGAUUUACCAGUAGUUGAAAACUAAUAGUGGUUAUCUCUAUGAUCUAUGAUAAUCAAAUAGUCGUAAUCAAAGUGAACAGUUCUAAGGAUAACAUGAAUUCUACAAAGCAUGUCAAAAAGCGAUUGAAACUAUUAGAACACUAAGAAUCUCUAGAGUAAUUGUGUUGGACUAUGUCCAUACAUCUAAGAAUUUGGUAGGUCGAUUUAGAGAAGGUUUGUCCAUAAUGUGAUAGAUGGUGCAUCGUGUAAGAUGGGCUUGAGACCCUCUUAAUGCCAUUCCUUAGUGGUAGCAUGUUCUAUGUGAUUGGAGAUCUCGUGAAGUAGAAUGGUGAAACAAGAUAGAGAAUGACUGAUGGAGAGACUCCUUAAAUAAAAUCUAGGUAAUUUGAUAUGCAUAUUUCUCCUUUGAUGUAUCGUAGGCUAACUAAAAUCUUAAUAUGAUCGGAGUGAUUUAUCUAAGCAGGGAUGUUAUCUUAUAGAACAUCCUAGAAGGAACACACCUAUAUGAGUUUGACUGCUAUUCAUAGUCUAUGAUAUUUGGGAAAUCUUUAUAUACACCUGAAAGGCCUAGAAAUGUGACUUCUAUGCUUCAAACCAAGGGGAUGCUUGUAACAAUCUAGUAUCAGAUAAGAACUUUGGUGAAACUCACUUCAUGCAAAACCGUUAAUUCAAAGCAUAGUCCAUUGUUCAGAUGUGAAUGUAUAACCCAUGUUCUAGAUGGAUGGUCAACUUAAUAGCCUCCACCAAGACCAUGAUAUAUCAAAGAGUAGUGGAUUUGAGUUUGUCCAAUAUGUGGUUUAGAUUUUGGUGGGGAAUGUUAAUAUUUUAUUGGCUUGACCCAUUUAAAGUGUUUAAUAAUUUUGAAAGACAAGAUUAAACAAAC